UGGUAUUCUGGAAAUGAGAUGGGCUCGUGUAGCGGUUGACGAUUGGUGGAGGAAUGAGCAGUUCUGGGUCAUUGGAGGUGUAUCUGCCCAUCUGUUUGCCGUGUUCCAAGGACUUCUCAAGGUGAUAGCUGGUGUGGACACGAGCUUCACCGUCACAACAAAGGCUGGAGACGAUGAGGAGUUCUCGGAGCUGUACACCUUCAAAUGGACAACCCUGUUGAUACCCCCGACCACCCUGCUCCUGCUGAACUUCAUCGGGGUGGUUGCCGGCAUCUCCAACGCUAUCAACAACGGAUAUGAGUCAUGGGGGCCUCUCUUCGGGAAGCUCUUCUUUGCGUUCUGGGUGAUUGUCCAUCUUUACCCGUUCCUCAAGGGUCUUCUUGGAAGGCAGAACAGGACCCCGACGAUCGUCAUCGUCUGGUCCAUCCUGUUGGCUUCUAUCAUCUCGCUCCUGUGGGUGCGUGUGAACCCUUUCCUUGCCAAGACCGACGGCCCUCUUCUGGAGGAGUGCGGUCUGGACUGCACCUAGGAGAUGAAAGGAUGGACGAUCAAAAUGAGUCAUCAUGUGGAGUAAUUUUGAAGGUGUUUUUGUGCCCAUAAAUUUUUUGUCUUCCAUUCCUCCAUCCCCUGUGUAGAUAGAAAACAAACAUGCAACAAGUGUUAAGUUAUUGGUUUUGUUCCAUGGUGGGUAGCUGGGCCUCAUAUAUGCAAAAUAUUUGGGCAGACGGGAGGCUGCGGCAACCCUUCUUCACCUCACCUCUGUGCAGUUCGGCCACGAAGAAGCAAGGAUACAGUCAGCCAAGUCAGUGUUGUUUCAUUGUCCAGCCAUCCAGCAAUUCUUUAUUUGUUGACCUUGAUUUAAAUGGAGAGGGAUAAAAUGUAUGUAAGUGAGCCGAAACUGAGAGCUGUCGUCUGUAUGCUAUGCCCCAAGGAUUGUAUUAUGUAUGUACAAACUGAAAACAACUUGUAUUUUUCUCUCUGUAAGGCAAGAAUGCCGUUUGUAAUAGAGGAAGCUGCACAUUAUUUAUCUAGCUUGUUUUGGUAAAUUCUAAACUGGAUAAAUGCCUGCAUGCUUGCUGCCCAUUCAUCUGCACAUUGUUAGGUUGUCAUCUUCUUGUUCCUCUUUCUAGUUCCACUAGUUCUAUGCUUCAUCUGCUCACCAGAUUUCCAUUAGUGUAGGUAUCAAGAAAAAUUGAAAGCCUGACUGCCAGUGCAAGGCCAGGAUUCUUAACUCCGAAGGGAGGAACGGUGCUGUAGCUUUGGCUUUGCGCCCUGCGAUUCUGCGACCGACCAAGAGCCAGCUAUGAAUUGCGUCCACAUGGUUGGCGCUGGAUUUGCUCGCCCGUGGUCCAUGGUUACACCUUACACGCAGCAGUGCGGGUGCAGUGUAGGCGCAGUACAGCUGGGUGGAAUCGCACGGAGCGCAGGCACAUGGUACUUGACAAAAGAUAUGACUGCACAUGCACGUGCCAUGCCAUGUUCGCCGCUGCCUGCCGGCCCCGGCCCCAGCGCACCGCUCGCUAAUGCUAAAUGGCCUGCCGCUUGAUCCACAGAGGCGUCUAUCUAUAUAUAGAAUUAGAUCCUAAUAACACCACUAGUUUGUCUGCUGCUGCCGGAGGGUGAACACACGGGCAUGCACAGUCCAAUUCUGGCUCCUGCCGCACCCGCACCGCGAUCCUUUUCGCGCCUCCCUCCUUGCUGUCGGUGGCUCAUCCUGACCCUGAUCUGAUCUGAAUAUCUGAUCAGGGCUUGCAUGAUGGUUAGGUUAGGUUAGGUUGGGAUAGAUUAAGCUUUAGAGGUUAGGUGGCACGUACCUUCCGCAUCCAGCUUCUUCUCCAUUAUUUUUCCCCUUUGACGUACAAUGAUUUGAUUGACACGCAAAAGAAAGAGAGGCCGCAUAUAUGGCUCGUGGGCGCGUAACUAAUCAAUCAAUGAUGAUCGAGCGGGGAAAAAGGGGUAAAGGCCGGCGUCGGUCAUGAAAAUGAUCAAGGUUUGCGUGCGCGUACGUAUGGGUGGUUGUGGUUGACAGUGAAGUCGAUGUCGAUCCGAAUCCGAUGGGACGCGCCAACGAACGGGCGGAGACCCGGCCAGCCGGUGCCAUCUGUGCUUGCCUUGCCGCGAACAACCAUCGUCGGUGCCCUGGUUAAUCCUCGGUACUGCUGCCUGCCGGCUUAGCUCCAGAUUUGAUCUUGCCUGCGGGUUGUCGGUCGGUGGAGUGGAGUGGCCGGCGUUGUGUGUCCAACGUGUGUGUGUAUGCUCACUGCGCCUGCGUGCUUGUAGCACUAGCACGUACUAAUUCGCUUGUAAUUUCUGGACAAGCAUGCGUACGUACGUACGUACAUGUUAUGCAGACAAGUCGAAUCAAAGAGAAAGGGCUACGUACGAAGUGCUACUGUGAGUAGCAAGGCCAGGAGGCUCGAUCGGACCACUGCUCUUCAUCAGUCCCUCUCUCUCAUCUUGCUUGCCGGAAAAGAUGACAAGAGCUUGAUUGAUUGAUUAAUCAGCCGGCCGGAGAAUACGAUGAUAAUGUAGUCUGUGUGCAAGUUGGUCACCACGCAUGCCAUCUUCACGCCUAGCCAUGUAAUUAACCACGAUCUGGAACGUCGUAAAAGAAUGCAUGCAUGGAACCUUCCUCCCAUCCGGCUUUACUUGCUCGAGCGCUGAACAUAGUAUUUUUUUUUACCUGCUCGGUCGCUGAAUAGAGUAUGUGGCUACUAGUACUACUUGGCACGUACUUUUAGUGGUCAACGCUCGCGAAUGGCCAGUAUAGUUAGCGAAGCAGAUUGAGAUAGAUGGGCUAAAGCAAUAUGGUCUAUAGAUCUACAUGUAUUUUUUUAUUGUUUUUGAUGUUCGUUAUAUUAUAAUGAUUGAAGAUGAAAAGAUUGAAAGUUUUUUCAAUUUUGAGUUGCAGUAGAUUCAGUGGUUGAUCAAUCGAUCGCCCUAUCCACGGUAUCCAGUGCAUGCGUGCAGAGGAGGGAAAGGGAAAGUAUCAGGUGAUACCAGCCCUUAUAUUGCUACCAUGAUACUAACUUUAAAAAUUUAAAUUUGAACUUGUCAAAAAAUUCUGAAAAAAAUUAAGGAUGUUCAUGACAUAUAUGUCGACAACCCCUAAAAAAUUCAGGUCAAAAUUCGAAAUAUACAUGGAAAAACAAAAAAGAUAAAUUCAGAUGUGAAUAGUGUCAUUUUUUCUUUUGUCUUUUUUGACACUAUUCAUGAUGGAUUUGCCUUUUUUUGUUUCUCUUUGUGUAUGUCAAAUUUUGAUAUGAUGUUUUAGGGGUUGUCGGCAUAUAUGUCAUGAACAUACAUGAUUUUUUUGAAUUUUUUUUGACAAGUUUAAAUUUGAAUUUUAAAAAUUGGUAUCAUGGUAGCAUAUAAGGGUGGUAUCAGCUGAUACUUUCUCGCGUGACAGAAUCAGCGACCAGAUCAUUAUCCAAAUCAAAUCAAAGAGUCACUCCUCCUACUGCAGUCGUCGUCAGGCUCAGACAGAGCAGCAGCAGCAUCGAGCUAGCAUUUAAUUCCAUCUCUGUCUGGCUGCAAAUGGGAUACCACCAUCUUCAAAUUAAGUUAAAUUAAUUAAGCAACUACUACUGGUAGAACUCCAUCUACUACCAAUAGAAAAAUUCGUCCAUUGUCCUCUGUAACAGCGCUCUGAAAACGUAAAAGAAUGGAACCUUCUCAUCAAUUGUUUACUCGGCUUGCAGUAGUUCAGUAGUCAACGCGAAUGGUAGUGGUGAUGACAUAGAGACCUUUAUUUAUUAUUUUAUAGUUAUUUUUCAUUGCACAAUAUUCCUUCUCUAAAGAAAUAUAAGAUCGUUUAGAUUACUAGCGUUAUAUGUCUCUCUCUUUUUUAAUUACUUGUCACAUCAUUUUUUUUGCCUAUCUGGCAUGCAUAUUGCUAUCUCUGUUAUUUCCACCAUGAGUAGUCUAAUCGGGUAUCAAAAGCAAAAUAAGAGUUUAAUAAAAAUGAUGCACCCACUGGUAAUUAUUGCAUGGUUGGUUUCGGGUAGUGAGUCUCAUCAUAACUCGGAUCGUGAGAUUAUGCUUAUACAUUGUCGGCACUCCCUCCGCCCUUGUUUAUAGUUGGGGUGAGUUCUUAGGUGUUUAACUAACAAAGCAUGAUUUAUAUGCCAUUAAAAUUUAUGUUUAUAAAUUUUAUUUGAAUAAGGACAUAGUGAUAUGCUUUUGAUCGUAUAUAAAACAUGAUUCGUUAGUCAAACAAGGGAUUUAUCAAACCCACACCGAUCCUAUAAACCCAGCGAGAGGGAGUACUAUUGUUUUUUGGUUCUGCCAAUUUUGGCCCAUCAAGAGAUUUUGCACAACAAUAGACAUAAAGUCGCUCCUCCUCCUCCAAAAAAUAAAGCUAGGGUUUCUGCCUCUCGCCGGCGCCGCCGCAGGUCCACCUCGUCUCCGGUGGCCCUAGGGCCAUGGGGGCGCGGUGGAUCCUGCCAAGGGCCGGCGGGAGGGCUCCGUUUUCAUUCGUUUUUUCCUGUCUUGUUAGGGUUUGUGUCAUGCUCAGGAAGGCGAGACGGCGGCGGCUCCCUGAAGAUGGAAUAAAGGUCUCCCCGCCUAGCCCCCGUUCCGGCGGUGCAUCUAGCAUCGUUGGUGGGCGUGUGGAGGUGUGUCUCCGGCUGAUCUAUCUUUGGUGGAUUUGCUCGGAUCUCGUCGUUGUUCGUCUACGUUCGUGUGUCUUCGGGUUGAAUCCUUCCAACCUACGUUAUUCUUCUUCGGCGGCGGUUGCUGUUCUGGUGCGCUGGUCCUAUGGGGCCUUAGCACGACGACUUCCCGACUGUCUACUACAACAAGUUGUGCCCGACUCCGGCGAUGGAGGGGUGAUGACGGCGGCGCGCCUUCGGCUCGCUUCAAUGCUUGUAGUCGUCGCUAGGUGGUCUACAGAUCUGGAUGUAAUUUUUACUUCUGGUGUUCGUUGUACUGCCAUGAUUGAAGAUGAAUAGAUUAGAAGUUUUUCGCAAAAAAAAAGAGCUUUUGCACAAAAAUGUAUACAAUUCCAAUUUAGAGAAAAAGUGUACAACCAGACGCAUACAUGAUUCUCAUCCAGAGCCUCUAACGCUAAUGGCCCGCAUGAUCCACAGAGGCAUGGAUGGACUAUAUAGUGGUUGUUUUGUACUGAGAAUUGCGUGUAGGAUUUUGGUAAACAAACUUUUGGAAGAUUUUAGCAAGACCAAUUUUGAUUAGUUUCUUUGUCAAGAUAAGCAUGUGCAGUUUCUAGUUUGGAUCAGCAAGUUGUUGCAAUCUACUAUACAUAAAGCUUGUUUUUUCUGCAACAACUUUGUUUUUGCAAUCCAUAGAUUAGUUAGAUAAUCCAAACAAGAUCUGAGGUUGUCACACCAGAAGUCAUGCAUUCUUAGGCAGAACUGGUUCUCUAUAAUCCGGACAACCAAACAACCAUAUAGUAUGUUGCUGGAUACAACACAUGCUUUUUUUUUUUUGCGAAUGCACAACACGUGUUGUUUGGUAGUAUAAUAUUUAGAAAUAACUGAAGCAUUCCCUAAAAAGCCAUACGGAGGUGACUGAGAAUUUCUUAAAUCUCAGCCGACGGAGAUUUUCUUAAAUCUCAGUCGACCUGACCACAGUUGGAUUAGUGUCAAGAUUCGUGCCAAAAACCCAUUCGCUACAUUUUUGGGAGGAACAUCCCACUCUGGGAUUGUUCUUUUAUCUACUUUGGGCCGAGUGUCUCCUCUAAUUUUUAUUCUUCCAUUUGGGCCAGAGUUCAUGUACCUGCUUAGGAAAGGGUCUUUUCCAUCGUUCUUUUUUUUCCUUGAAGAAAGCGUACUUACUGGUCAAGUUUUCUAUUUGGAGCAUUUCAUGACAUAUAUGUGCCUUUUUUACUCUAUUGUUCUUUGUUUAUUUGUCUUCUAAUCUUUUCAUGUAUUAAUUAUUUUAUUUUAAGUAUAACAACAAUUAUAUCAAAAACAAAAAGGAAUUGAAAAACAACCUUAUCAUGAUUUUUAAUAGAAAUACGUUUUGUAUUUAUUUUAUCUAAAGUUACUAAUUGUUUCCUUAAUAAUUCUCAAAAAGUAUCUUUUAUUUUUGUUUGCAUAGUACAAUUGCACGAUUUAAUGUGCGUGAAUUGUACGAUUGUAUCUUGAUGUUUUUCUUGCAUUGCAGUUAUUGAUACAUUGACGUUGCACUUUUAUUAUAAUCAAGUUGUACUUUUACAUGGCAUACAUAUUUUAUCUUUUGGAUUAUGUCAUGGUUGCACUUUUCAAUAAUCUCAAUUUACACUUUUCCGGAAAUGUCCAACUACCCAGCAACUAGUUUCUUCACAUGCCAUUUGUAUUUUCACCACAUUUUUAAAUAAAUUCAAGUUGCACCUUUUUUGGAAAUGUGCAACUACCUACUUUCAUAAAGUGCAACAAAGAUUUUUACAUUUUAUAUCUAUUUUUCUCUUCUAGAUUAAGAACAUUUGUAUUUCCCCCACAUUUUUAAAUAAAUUCAAGUUGCAUAUUUUCUGGAAAUGUGCAACUACCUACUUUCAUAAAGUGCAACAAAGAUUUUUACAUUUUAUAUCUAAUUUUCUCUUCUAGAUUAAGAACUAGUUACACUUUUUAACAAACUAAAGUACAUUUGUAAAUGUAUUUCUUCAUAAAGGCACACACACGCUCAUGAGUGUAUCGUGUAUCUAAACAUCAUGAACGCACGCGCUCGCCAAAGGCACGUCUCGUGCCUCUUCCUGGUCUUUUAUUUUUCACAAUCUCAGUGGUACAAAGUGGCAGCUCUAUGCAUAACACGCACGGACCCUGGCGAGCUUACCUAGCCGGACUCAAACUUAUAUAGACUUAAAUACAAACCCAAAUGAUAAGUGUCACACGUGUGGCACGAAGGACUCUGACUUUGACAUCUUUAAAACUAACAAAAAGAAAAACAAAUCUCAAAGAAAAACAAAAACUUGCCAUCCGAAAAGAAAGUUGUUAUGCUUGACAACUAAAGUUGGCAUGCUUGACAACUAAAAUUGCCAUCCUUGCGCCACUAAAUUUGCCAUAAAAAAGUUUGAAACUACGAUGUGUUUUUUUUUUUGCGAAAAGAAAUUGCCAUAUGUUGGUGCCACAUGUGUGGCACUUAUCAGGGUCCAAUACAAAACCGACCACCAGUAGGUGCUACACGUAGCGUGUGCUAGUACACUAGUAGAGAAAGGGCCUUUUGUCCCGGUUCGUAAGGGCCUUCUGUCCCGGUUUUGGAACCGGAACUAAAAGGUCGUUACUAAUGUCCUUGGCCUUUAGUCCCGGUUCUUACACGAACCGGGACAGACGGGCCUCCACGUGGCCGCUGCGGCCAGCCCAGGCAGGGGGACCUUUGGUCCCGGUUGGUGGCACCAACCGGGACCAAUAGGCAUCCACGCGUCAGCAUUUCAGGGGCUGUUUUUUUUUGAAAGGGGGGGUGCGGUUUAGGGGUUUUUGGGGAGUUAAUUUAGGUUGUUAUUAGCUAGCUAAUAAAGAGAAGUGUCAUCUCUUAUAUAUCUCCGUGCUUGGUUUACCAAUGCUACUGCUAUGCCUAAUGUUAACAUGGCUUAGAUUGAAGUGAAGGCAACAUGUGGUGCAUGUCGAAAGUAAUACUAAUCCUAACUUGAUUAAGUUUGGAUUGUACUACUUUCGACAUGCACCACAUGCAUGUUGCCUUCACUUCAAUCCAAUCCAUGUUCAUUUCACCCGCUCGCAUCAUGCAUCAUCAUAUAUAAUAACAAGUCCUACUAAUUAAUCAUCAUCAUACAACUUCUACUCGUUAUUAAUAACAAGUCAUACGAUCAUCAUCCUCAUAGUCAUCGAACCAACACUACUUAAUUGUUAUUAGCACAUGAUCAUCAUUAUGAGGUAUAACACUCUUUAAGGUAAAAUAGCAUAAAAUAAUAUAGACCCUGACUCUCCAUUAUGAAAAAUGGAGAUCAUCCUGUCUCCAAUUCUUGCGCUUCGCUUCCUUUUGUUUUCAAGAAGCUCCUUACGACUGUCCAUACAUUUUUUCCAUUCUUUGAUUGUCAUGUCUCCACUUUUUUUAGAAAUCCAAUAUGGACAGUUGAGAUUCGUAGGACGACCUGGUUGUAUGUUCAAAACAUCAAGGCGACCGUGCGUAUACAUCAGAUGAGGCACACAAUCAUUCGGGAUUAUCUGUUGAAGAACAUAGUAAUAACUUCAUAGUUAACAAUGAUGUACUAGUUUUAGAAGUAUGCAAAAGAUGCACGGAUGUCGUAAUAGUAAAAAAUCUUACCAGGGUAUCUCCAUGGUAGUUACCAUAGUUCAACACGUGCACUAGUGGCACGUAUUGACCAUAAUGUUGAGGAGUUCGAUUGUAGAUAUUAUAAUUCUCAAGAUCAUUACAAAAUGCGAUCAGAUGAUUUUUCUCCUUAUAAGUUAAAUCGGAGCCAUCGGUAUAGUGGAUUUUGUCUACCAUCUUCCGCACAUUCUUUGAACAAUGAAAAUAAGCUGUCAAUGAAAAUAAGCUGUCAACUAUUUUGAAAUAAACGAUAUAUUACUUAAUAACUAUGCUUGAGAAGCUCACAUAGGGAAAGAAUUGGAAGCAUAUCAACAAUGACCCAAAUGUCUAUAUUGUCUUGCUCGAUAUUAGGAUCACCAAGAUCCAUGGUGACAAACAUACCCUUAUCAAAACCAUACAUCUUGCAAAGUGCUUCUCAAUUUUUGCAACCAAAAUGGGUUACACUCUCAGAAUUGUACAACUUUACUUCAAAAUCCACACCAUGAUGGGUCCUUUGGUGAAUUUUCUUUGUUUCCAUACUUUCAUGGUCUUCAAAACCCAUCCUCUCAAAGACAUAGGGUCUUGCAUAGCAUGGGAUAAGCUAGUCGAAUUGGAAAAGAUGAAAAUUACACGUUAAAAUAGUCGAAGUCGUGCUUAAUUACAAAAAAAACUAUUGUCGUCGUUGCAUACCGUUUCAACAUCGAAGGUCUCCUCGAGCUUAAUGCUGAAGCACCGAUCUUCGUCCAGCUCAAGGAACCUGUCGCACAUACCUCGGUCGUCGUGGCACCAGUCGCACUCCCCCGGGAGGUUUUCGUCGUCCGAGUACGACAUUUCCUAUGUUCAUAAUUCAAAUAUUAAACUUGUACAAUUAAAUAUAUGUACUAAAAAACUCUCAACUCAUGUACAUAUUCGAUCAUCGGUGAUGGUAGCUCCUCCUUUCAUUCCCGAGUGCAUUACACAAAAUUGUCUAGCACACGGGAAUGAAGGAGAAGCUACCCCCACGACAACAGCCGGAAUUCUUUGUCCUCUCAUAUAUAUAUGGUUGGAGACUCUCCCUCACUGAUUCCUCUAUGACAUUUGCGAACGUCGGUGAUGAUAGCUCCUCCUUUCGUUCCGGAGUGCAUUACACAUUGUGUCUAGCACACGGGAACGAAGGAGAAGCUACCCCCACGACAACAGUCGGGAUUCUUCGUCCUCUCAUAUAUGUGGAGACUCGACAGACUUAAAGUCAACCCGAGGACUCAUAUUAUAGGAGUCAUAUUGACAUGGAGAUUUGGCUGGUCUCACCUCGAGGUCGGAGGGGGGUCGGUGACGGGGACAACGGCGCGGAUGAUGGAGGGGGCUCCUAGAUUUCUGCAUAGUGCUCUCCAAUUUUAGCAUUCAAAGUAGGAGUACUUUUCCAAUUUGAGCAUUCAAUAAGCAAAACCAAAUCGUAAAAUAAAGAGUAUUCAAAUUAGCAUGCAUUCAAUUAUAAGCAAAAGUACAUUAUCUCUUGUGUCCGUACAUCGUCGAAUAUUAUCACUAAUAAUACUCCUCGAAUACUAACAUACAUAUAGCAUCGCUAAUACAGCUAGAACCAUAGCGCCCGACAGGUAUCCUCGCGGGCGGUGGACACCCAAAGAGAAGGAACCGUCACAGGAUCAUAGCUUCAGUUAGAUCCCUGAAGAAUCUGCCAGGUAUUGUCGAACCUGCCCUCCAACGCAACCAUGUAGCGACGGACGUGCUCGUCCUCCUCGCUGACACAGUGACGUACCACCUCCACGGUGUCCGGAAGCCUCGACACCGUCACUGGCCCACGCGACCGGCACCAAACAAGGAUCAGGUUAACAACGGGCUGGUUCCUCACCAACCUACGCCCCCCGUAAGGUAGCACCUACCAAUACCAGCCCGGCGGAGCCCAGUCCCGGACAUGACCCCUCUGAUCAAGCCGGCCUCCUCCGCCGAGUCGACGACGAGGAUGCGAGAUAGGCAUCAUCGACGUUGAUGCGUGAUUAAUUGCUUGAACUAAAAAAAUAAACUAGUUCUAUUAAUUUUCUUGCUAAAAAUAAACUACUUCUAUAUAUAGUAAAAUAAAGUAGUUUUAUUAAAUCAACUAGUUCAACUACUAAGCACUUACUAUAAAUAAAUAAAAUAGUACUUACUAAAAAUAAACUACUUCUAUAGUAAAAUAAAAUAGUUUUAUUAAAUCAAUUAGUUCAACUAUAUACUAAGCACUUACUAUAAAUAAAAUAAAGUAGUACUUACAAAAAAUAAACUAGUUUAACUAGUUCUAUUAUUUUUCUAACUAAUUAUAUCAAACACUUUCUCUUCUUGCUUUCCUUUUUGCUCUCCUGUUUUCUUCUAAAUAUGAACAUAUACAUAUAAAUGACUUUGAUCAUACACNNNNNNNNNNNNNNNNNNNNNNNNNNNNNNNNNNNNNNNNNNNNNNNNNNNNNNNNNNNNNNNNNNNNNNNNNNNNNNNNNNNNNNNNNNNNNNNNNNNNNNNNNNNNNNNNNNNNNNNNNNNNNNNNNNNNNNNNNNNNNNNNNNNNNNNNNNNNNNNNNNNNNNNNNNNNNNNNNNNNNNNNNNNNNNNNNNNNNNNNNNNNNNNNNNNNNNNNNNNNNNNNNNNNNNNNNNNNNNNNNNNNNNNNNNNNNNNNNNNNNNNNNNNNNNNNNNNNNNNNNNNNNNNNNNNNNNNNNNNNNNNNNNNNNNNNNNNNNNNNNNNNNNNNNNNNNNNNNNNNNNNNNNNNNNNNNNNNNNNNNNNNNNNNNNNNNNNNNNNNNNNNNNNNNNNNNNNNNNNNNNNNNNNNNNNNNNNNNNNNNNNNNNNNNNNNNNNNNNNNNNNNNNNNNNNNNNNNNNNNNNNNNNNNNNNNNNNNNNNNNNNNNNNNNNNNNNNNGUGGCGACGGGCGACGGCGACGGUGAGGGGCGGAGCGACGAAGGUGAGGGGCGGCGCGACGACGACGGUGACGGUGAGGGGCGGCGCGGCGUCGGGCGACGAGGAGGCAGGGGCCGGCGGCGUCGGGGCACGGGGGCGCGGGGCAGUGACGGCGUCUGGGCAGCGCGGGACGGCAUCGGAGGCAGGGGCGACGACGGCGACGGCGAGGCGCAGAGGGGCAGCCUGGCGGUGUCGUUGGGGCAGGGAAGACGAACUGAAUAAAAUUUUCACAAGUGCUAGUUAUAUAGGCGAAGCAUUGGUCCCGGUUCGUGACAGAAACCGGGACGAAUGCCACCUUUAGUCCCGGUUGGUGCCACAAACCGGGAUCAAAUGCCUCUUUUCUGCAGCCCAAAGGGCGGGAAGCAGAGGGCAUUGGUCCCGGUUGGUGGCACCAACCGGGACCAAAGGGGAGCAUUGGUUCCGGUUGGUGCCACCAACCGAGACUAAAGGCCUUGUGCUGGCGCGAUGCGGUGGGAAAUUUAGUCCCACCUCGCUAGCUGAGAGAGCUGAGCACCUGUUUAUAAGCUGCGUUGCAGCUCAGGUGCUGAGCUCCUCUCUAAUAUGCACGCAUUACUUGCCUACCCUUGUCACUGCCAUGUUGGGCCUAUUGGGCAUGCGGGCCUGCAUACUGGCCCAUGUACAGAUGAGUUUCUAGUCGUAUGCAGGCCGUGUGGCCCAUUAGGCGGCAUUUUUUUUAUUUUUUCCAGUAUUUUAUUUGUUUUUUGAAUUAUUUAUUUUCUUUUGAUUUUUGUUUUAUUUUUUUAUUCUUUUUGCUUUUAGCUCAGAAUAAUUAUAAACUUUCUGUUACUCCAUUAGUUUCCAAAUUUGAAUAGUUUAAAUUUUGUUAUUUUAGUUUCUAUCAAAAAAAUUGUUUAUGAAAAUUGUUUUUGUUACUAAAGUUUCUAACAAAAAAUUCUUUAUGAUAAUUCUUUCUGCUUUUCAUGUUUUGAACAGAAAAUACUUUGAUAAUUUUAGUUGCAUAAAUUUUAUAUAAUUUUAGUUUAAAAAAUAGUAUAGGUUUAUAAAAGCUUUUUAGUUGAUUCCUUUUGCUAUUAGAGUUUUAUAAACAUUUUUUAGUUGAUUUUAUUUUGCUAUUAAAGAAUAUCAUAGUUUUGUUUUAGUUGAUCAUAAAUGACCCUGAAAUUGAACUCCAGACUUUUUGUGUGUUCAAAAUGCACCAUUCAAAGCCACAUCAUCAAUUUUUUAAUGGAAAACUUGUCUGUUACGACAGGCAUUUCAAAUGAACUACGAAAAGGUUGAAAGUUGGCAUGAUAUCAUCAUAAUAGUUGUGGACAAAGUCUUCACUUUUUCUUCGCUUGUGUCCUUUCUUUAUUGUUCCGUAACCAUGGAUAAUCUUCAUCAUUUAUCAGGAUGCUUGGGUUAGCCUUGACUUUGAAGGGAAGAAUUUCAUGAAACUUUUCAUAAUCUUCGGACAUGUCUGUCUUGCCCUCCACUCCCAAGAUGUCUCUUUUUCCUGAUAGAACUAUGUGGCGCUUUGGCUCAUCGUAUGAUGUAUUCGCCUCCUUAUCUUUUCUUUUUCUCGGUUUGGUAGACAUGUCCUUCACAUAGAUAACCUGUGCCACAUCAUUGACUAGGACGAACGGUUCGUCAGUAUACCCAAGAUUGUUCAGAUCCACUGUUGUCAUUCCGUACUGUGGGUCUACCUGUACCCUGCCUCCUGACAGAUUGACCCAUUUGCACUUAAACAAAGGGACCUUAAAAUCUACUCCGUAGUCAAGUUCCCAUAUGUCCACUAUGUAACCAUAAUAUGUGUCCUUUCCCCUCUCGGUUGCUGCAUCAAAGCGGACACCGCUGUUUUGGUUGGUGCUCUUUUGAUCUUGGGCGAUCGAGUAAAAUGUAUUCCCAUUUAUCCUAUAUCCUUUGUAAAUCAAUACAACGAGUACAACUCAUCACAAACAGUGUUGUCACCUCUGAGACGUGUUUCGAACCAACUGCUGAAAGUCCUGAUGUGUUCACAUGUAAUCGAGUCGUCCCAAUGCUCCGGGUGCUUGGAGCGCAGAUUGUUCUUGUGUUCAUCGACAUACGGGGCCACCAAGGUAGAGUUCUGUAGAACUGUGUAGUGUGCUUGAUGUUGGGGAACAUAGUAAUUUCAAAAAAUUUCCUACGCACACACAAGAUCAUGGUGAUGCAUAGCAACGAGAGGAAAGAGUGUUGUCUACAUACCCUCGUAGACCGAAAGCGGAAGCGUUAGCACAACGCGGUUGAUGUAGUCAUACGUCUUCACGAUCCGACCGAUCAAGUACCGAACGUACGACACCUCUGAGUUCAGCACACGUUCAGCCCGAUGACGUCCCUUGAACUCCGAUCCAGCCGAGUGUUGAGGGAGAGUUUCGUCAGCACGACGACGUGGUGACGAUGAUGAUAUUCUACCGAUGCAGGGCUUCGCCUAAGCACCGCUACAGUAUUAUCGAGGUGGACUAUGGUGGAGGGGGGCACGGCACACGGCUAAAAGAUCAAACAAUCAAUUGUUUUCUCUAUGGGGUGCCCCCUGCCCCCGUAUAUANNNNNNNNNNNNNNNNNNNNNNNNNNNNNNNNNNNNNNNNNNNNNNNNNNNNNNNNNNNNNNNNNNNNNNNNNNNNNNNNNNNNNNNNNNNNNNNNNNNNNNNNNNNNNNNNNNNNNNNNNNNNNNNNNNGCCAAGGGGAGAGGCGCGCCAGGAGGAGUCCUACUCCCACCGGGAGUAGGACUCCCCCCCUUUCCUAGUUGGAUUAGGACUUGGGGGAAAGAGGAGGGAUAGAGGAAGGAAGGGGGGGCGCCGCCCCCUGUUGGGGAACGUAGUAAUUUCAAAAAAUUUCCUACGCACACGCAAGAUCAUGGUGAUGGCAUAGCAACGAGAGGGGAGAGUGUUGUCCACGUACCCUCGUAGACCGUAAGCGGAAGCGUUAGCACAACGCGGUUGAUGUAGUCGUACGUCUUCACGAUCCGACAGAUCCAAGCACCGAGCGUAUGGCACCUCCGAGUUCAGCACACGUUCAGCUCGAUGACGAUCCCCGGGGUCCGAUCCAGCAAAGCUUCGGGGAUGAGUUCCGUCAGCACGACGGCAUGGUGACGAUGAUGAUGUUCUACCGGCGCAGGGCUUCGCCUAAGCUUCGCGACGAUAUGACCGAGGUGGAAUAUGGUGGAGGGGGGCAUCGCACACGGCUAAGGAAUGAUCCGUAGAUCAACUUGUGUGUCUUUGGGGUGCCCCCCCGCCUCCGUAUAUAAAGGAGCCAGGGGGGAGGAGGCGGCCGGCCUAGAGGGCGCGCCAAGGGGGGGAGUCCUACUCCCACCGGGAGUAGGACUCCCUCUUUCCAAGUAGGAGUAGGAGAAGGGGGGGGAGAGGAGGAAGAGGGGAAGGAAAGGGGGGGCGCCGCCCCCCUUCCCUUGUCCUAUUCGGACUAGGAGGGGGAGGGGCAUGCGGCCCCCUCCUUGCUCCUUCCCUCUUCUCCCUCGUGGCCCAUGUAGGCCCAUUAACCCCCCGGGGGGUUCCGGUAACCUCCCGGUACUCCGGUAAAAUGCCGAUUUCACCCGGAACCAUUCCGAUGUCCAAACAUAGGCUUCCAAUAUAUCAAUCUUUAUGUCUCGACCAUUCCGAGACUCCUCGUCAUGUCCGUGAUCACAUCCGGGACUCUGAACAAACUCCGGUACAUCAAAACUUAUAAACUCAUAAUAAAACUGUCAUCGAAAUGUUAAGCGUGCGGACCCUACGGGUUCGAGAACUAUGUAGACAUGACCUAAAACCAUUCUCGGUCAAUAACCAAUAGCGGGACCUGGAUGCCCAUAUUGGUUCCUACAUAUUCUACGAAGAUCUUUAUCGGUCAAACCGCAUAACAACAUACGUUGUUCCCUUUGUCAUCGGUAUGUUACUUGCCCGAGAUUUGAUCGUCGGUAUCCAAUACCUAGUUCAAUCUCGUUACCGGCAAGUCUCUUUACUCGUUCUGUAAUACGUCAUCUCAUAACUAACUUAUUAGUUAUAAUGCUUGCAAGGCUUUAAGUGAUGAGUAUUACCGAGAGGGCCCAGAGAUACCUCUCCGACAAUCGGAGUGACAAAACCUAAUCUCGAAAUACGCCAACCCAACAUGUACCUUCGGAGACACCUGUAGUACUCCUUUAUAAUCACCCAAUUACGUUGUGACGUUUGGUAGCACCCAAAGUGUUCCUCCGGUAAACGGGAGUUGCAUAAUCUCAUAGUUACAGGAACAUGUAUAAGUCAUGAAGAAAGCAAUAGCAACAUACUAAACGAUCAAGUGCUAGGCUAACGGAAUGGGUCAUGUCAAUCGCAUCAUUCUCCUAAUGAUGUGAUCCCGUUAAUCAAAUGACAACUCUUUUGUCCAUGGCUAGGAAACUUAACCAUAUUUGAUUCACGAGCUAGUCAAGUAGAGGCAUACUAGUGACACUAUGUUUGUCUAUGUAUUCACACAUGUAUUAUGUUUCUGGUUAAUACAAUUCUAGCAUGAAUAAUAAACAUUUAUCAUGGAAUAAGGAAAUAAAUAGUAACUUUAUUAUUGCCUCUAGGGCAUAUUUCCUUUAGUCUCCCACUUGCACUAGAGUCAAUAAUCUAGUUCACAUCGCUAUGUGAUUUAACACCAAUAUUCACAUCUGCAUGUGAUUAAUACCCAUAGUUCACAUCAUCAUGUGAUCAACACCCAAAGGGUUUACUAGAGUCAAUAAUCUAGUUCACAUCGCUAUGUGAUUAUCACCCAAAAGAGUACUAAGGUAUGAUCAUGUUUUGCUCGUGAGAGAAGGUUAGUCAACGGGUCUGUCAUAUUCAGAGCCGUAUGUAUUUCGCAAAUAUUCUAUGUCCACAAUGCUCUGCACGGAGCUACUCUAGCUAAUUGCUCCCACUUUUAAUAUGUAUCCAGAUUGAGACUUAGAGUCAUCUGGAUUGGUGUAAAAGUUUGCAUCGUUGUAACUUUUACGACGGGCUCUUUUAUCACCUCCAUAAUCGAGAAACAUCUCCUUAGUCCUCACUAAGGAUAUUCUUGACCCAUGACCAGUGAUCUACUUAUUAGAUCAAAAUUGUAUUCCUUUGCCAAACACAGAGCAAGGUAUACAAUAGGUCUGUUCACAGCAUAGCAUACUUUAUAGAACCUAUGACUGAGGCAUAGGGAAUGACUUUUCAUUCUCUUUCUAUUUUCUGCAAUGGUCGGGUCUUGAGUCUUACUCAACUUCACACCUUGUAACACAGGCAAGAACUCCUUUCUUUGACUGUUCCAUUUUGAACUAUUUCAAAAAUUUAUCAAGGUAUGUACUCAUUGAAAAAUCUUAUCAAGCGUCUAGAUCUAUCUAUAUAGAUCUUGAUGCUCAAUGUGUAAGCAGCUUCACCGAGGUCUUGCUUUGAAAAACUCUUAUUCAAGUAUCGUUUCAUGCUAUCCAGAAUUUCCAUAUCAUUUCCAAUUAACAAUAUGUCAUCCACAUAUAAUAUUAGAAAUGCUACAGAGCUCCCACUCACUUUCUUGUAAAUACAGGCUUCUUCAAAAGUCUGUAUGCUUCUAUGACUAUCGCUACCGCUUAGUGAUAAAGUAAAACAUUACAGGGCGAUUGCAUUGCAUACAAUAAAGAGACAAUCAUAUGGCUCCUACCAGUUGCCGAUAACUCAGUUACAAAACAUGAUCAUCUCAUAGAAUAAAAUUUAGCAUCAUGUCUUGACCAUAUCACAUCACAGCAUGCCCUACAAAAGCAAGUUAGACGUCCUCUACUUUGUUGUUGCAAAUUUUACGUGGCUGCUACGGGCUGAGCAAGAACUGUUCUUACCUGCGCAUCAAAACUACAAUGAUAGUUUGUCAAGUUGGUGCUGUUUUAACCUUCGCAAGGACCGGGCGUAGCCACACUCGGUUCAACUAAAGUGAGAGAGACAGACACCCGCCGGUCGCCUUUAAGCAACUAGUGCUCGUGGCGGUGAAACGAGUCUCGCGUAAGCGUACGCGUAAUGUCGGUCCGGCCCACUUCAUCUCACAAUGCCGCUGAACCAAAGUAUGACAUGCUGGUAAGCAGUAUGACUUAUAUCGCCCACAACUAACUUGUAUUCUACUCAUGCAUAUGACAUCUACGCAUAAAACCUGGCUCGGAUGCCACUGUUGGGGAACGUAGUAAUUUCAAAAAAAUUCCUACGCACAGACAAGAUCAUGGUGAUGCAUAGCAACAAGAGGGGAGAGUGUUUUCUACGUACCCUCGUAGACCAAAAGCGGAAGCUUUAACACAACGCGGUUGAUGUAGUCGUACGUCUUCACGAUCCGACCGAUCAAGUACCGAACGUACGACACCUCCGAGUUCAGCACACGUUCAGCCCGAUGACGUCCCUCGAACUCCGAUCCAGCCGAGUGUUGAGGGAGAGUUCCGUCAGCACGAUGGCGUGGUGAGGAUGAUGAUGUUCUACCGACGCAGGGCUUCGCCUAAGCACCACUAUAGUAUUAUCGAGGUGGACUAUGGUGGAGGGGGGCACCGCACAUGGCUAAAAGAUCAAACGAUCAAUUGUUUUCUCUAUGGGGUGCCCCCUGCCCCCAUAUAUAAAGGAGCAAGGGGGGUGCGACCGGCCAAGGGGAGAGGCGCGUCGGGAGGAGUCCUACUCCCACCGGGAGUAGGACUCCCCCCUUUCCUCGUUGGAUUAGGACUUGGGGGAAAGAGGAGGGAGAGAGGAAGGAAGGGGGGGGGGGCGCCGCCCCCCUCUCCUUGUCCUAUUCGGACUAGGAGGGAGGGGCGCGCGGCCCAGCCCUGGCCGCCUCUCCUCUUCUUCGUAAAGGCCCACUGAGGCCCAUUAACCUCCCGGGGGGUUCCGGUAACCUCCCGGUAGUCCGGUAAAAUCCCGAUUUCACCCGGAACACUUCCGAUAUCCAAACAUAGGCUUCCAAUAUAUCAAUCUCCAUGUCUCGACCAUUUCGAGACUCCUCGUCAUGUCCGUGAUCACAUCCGGGACUUCGAACAACCUCCGGUACAUCAAAACAUAUAAACUCAUAAUAUAACUGUCAUCAUAACGUUAAGCGUGCGGACCCUACGGGUUCGAGAACUAUGUAGACAUGACCGAGACAUGUCUGCGGUCAAUAACCAAUAGCGGAACCUGGAUGCUCAGAUUGGCUCCCACAUCUUUAUCGGCCAGACCACAUAACAACAUACGUUGUUCCCUUUGUCAUCAGUAUGUUACUUGCCUGAGAUUCGAUCGUCGGUAUCUCAAUACCUAGUUCAAUCUCGUUACUGGCAAGUCUCUUUACUCGUUCCAUAAUACAUCAUCCCGCAACUAACUCAUUAGUUGCAAUGCUUGCAAGGCUUAAGUGAUGUGUAUUACCGAGAGGGCCCAGAGAUACCUCUCCGACAAUCGGAGUGACAAAUCCUAAUCUCGAAAUACGCCAACCCAACAUGUACCUUCGGAGACACCUGUAGAGCACCUUUAUAAUCACCCAGUUAUGUUGUGACAUUUGGUAACACAAAAAGUGUUCCUCCGGUAAACGAGAGUUGCAUAAUCUCAUAGUCAUAGGAACAUGUAUAAGUUAUGAAGAAAGCAACAACAACAUACUAAACAAUCGCGUGCUAAGCUAACGGAAUGGGUCAAGUCAAUCACAUCAUUCUCCUAAUGACGUGAUCCCGUUAAUCAAAUGACAACUCAUGUCUAUGUCUAGGAAACAUAACCAUCUUUGAUCAACGAGCUAGUCAAGUAGAGGCAUACUAGUGACAAUCUGUUUGUCUAUUUAUUCACACAUGUAUUAUGUUUCCGGUUAAUACAAUUCUAGCAUGAAUAAUAAACAUUUAUCAUGAUAUAAGGAAAUAAAUAAUAACUUUAUUAUUGCCUCUAGGGCAUAUUUCCUUCACUUGAGACCAAGAAUAUCCGUCCCUUCCAAGUGUGCCUUUUCCAGUUAGUCUCCCCUCAUACGCGAUUUAGGGAGACCUAUCUUCUUAAGGUCAGGAAUGAAGUCAACACAAAACCCAAUGACAUCCUCUGUUUGAUGGCCCAUGGAGAUGCUUCCUUCUGGCCUAGCGCGGUUACGGACAUAUUUCUUUAGGACUCCCAUGAACCUCUCAGAGGGGUACAUAUUGUGUAGAAAUACGGGGCCCAGAAUGACAAUCUCGUCAACUAGAUGAACUAGGACGUGCGUCAUGAUAUUGAAGAAGGAUGGUGGGAACACUAGCUCGAAACUGACAAGAUGUUGCACCACGUCACUCCUUAGCCUUGGUAUGAUUUCUGGAUCGAUCACCUUCUGAGAGAUUGCAUUGAGGAAUGCACAUAGUUUCACAAUGGCUAAUCAGACAUUUUCCGGUAGAAGCCCCUUCAAUGCAACCAGAAGCAGUUGCAUCAUAAUCACGUGGCAGUCAUAAGACUUUAGGUUCUGGAACUUUUUCUCUGCCAUAUUUAUUAUUCCAUUUAUAUUUGACGAGAAGCCAGUCGGGACCUUCAUACUAAGCAGGCAUUCAAAGAAGAUUUCCUUCUCUUCUUUGGUAAGAGUGUAGCUGGCAGGACCUUCAUACUGCUUUGGAGGCAUGCCGUCUUUUUCGUGCAAACGUUGCAGGUCCUCCCGUGCCUCAGCUGUAUCUUUUGUUUUCCCAUCACGCCCAAGAAGCCUAGCAGGUUCACGCAAAGGUUCUUCGUCACGUGCAUCACGUCGAUCGAAGAGCGGACCUCUAGGUCUUUCCAGUAGGGUAGGUCCCAAAAAAUAGAUUUCUUCUUCCACAUGGGUGCGUGUCCCCCAGCGUCACUCAAAACAGCUAGUCCGCCGGGACCCUUUCCAAAGAUUACGUGUAAAUCAUUGACCAUAGCAAGUACAUGAUCACCGGUAUGCGUGGCGGGCUUCUUUCGGUGAUCUGCCUCACCUUUGAAAUGCUUGCCUUUCUUUCGACAUUGAUGGUUGGUCGGAAGAAAUCGACGAUGGCCCGGGUUCACAUUCUUCCUGCAUUUGUCCAGGUAUAUACUUUGGGUGUCAGCUAACAAUGCGUGCAUGUGUGGUAUCCCUUGUUUGUCUGUCCUGAAAGGUUACUGAGAGCGGGCCAAUCAUUGAUGGUUACAAAAAGCAAUGCGUGCAGGUUAAAUUCCUCCUGUCUGUGCUCAUCCCACGCACGUACACUGUUUCCAUUCCACAGCUGUAAAAGUUCUUCAACUAAUGGCCUUAGGUACACAUCAAUGUCGUUGCCGGGUUUCUUAGGGCCUUGGAUGAGAAUUGGCAUCAUAAUGAACUUCCGCUUCAUGCACAUCCAAGGAGGAAGGUUAUACAUACAUAGAGUCACGGGCCAGGUGCUGUGAUUGCUGCUCUGCUCCCCGAAAGGAUUAAUGCCAUCCACGCUUAAACCAAACCAUAUGUUCCUAGGGUCACGUGUAAACUCAGCCCAGUACUCUCUCUCGAUUUUUCUCCACUGCGACCCGUCAACGGGUGCUCUUAACUUCCCGUCUUUCUUACGGUCCUCACUGUGCCAUCACAUCAACUUGGCAUGCUCUUUGUUUCUGAACAGUCGUUUCAACCGUGGUAUUAUAGGAGCAUACCACAUCACCUUCGCAGGAACUCUCUUCCUGCAGGGCUUGCCGUCAACAUCACCAGGGUCAUCUCGUAUGAUCUUAUACCGCAAUGCACCGCAUACCGGACAUGCGUUCAAAUCCUUGUACGCACCGCGGUAGAGGAUGCAGUCAUUAGGGCAUGCAUGUAUCUUCUGCACCUCCAAUCCUAGAGGCAUGCGACCUUCUUUGCUGCAUACGUACUAUCGGGCAAUUCGUUAUCCUUUGGAAGCUUCUUCUUCAAUAUUUUCAGUAGCUUCUCAAAUCCUUUGUCAGGCACAACAUUCUCUGCCUUCCAUUGUAGUAAUUUCAGUACGGUACCCAGCUUUGUGUUGCCAUCUUCGUAAUUGGGGUACAACCCUUUUUUGCGAUCGUCUAACAUGCGAUCGAACUUCAGCUUCUCCUUUUGACUUCCGCAUUGCGUCUUUGCAUCGACAAUGACCCGGCGGAGAUCAUCAUUAUCGGGCACAUCGUCUGGUUCCUCUUGAUCUUCAGUAGCUUCCCCCGUUGCAGCAUCAUCGGGCACAUCGGCUGGUUCCUCUUGAUCUUCAGCAGCUCCCCCCGUUGCAGCAUCACCGUAUUCAGGGGGCAUACAGUUGUCAUCAUCCUCUUCUUCUUCGCCGUCUUCCAUCAUAACCCCUAUUUCUCCGUGCCUCGUCCAAACAUUAUAGUGUGGCAUGAAACCCUUGUAAAGCAGGUGGGUGUGAAGGAUUUUCCGGUCAGAGUAAGACUUCGUAUUCCCGCAUUUAGGGCAUGGACAACACAUAAAACCAUUAUGCUUGUUUGCCUCAGCCACUUCGAGAAAAUUAUGCACGCCCUUAAUGUACUCGGAGGUGUGUCUGUCACCAUACAUCCAUUGCCGGUUCAUCUGCGUGCAUUAUAUGUAAUUAUGUGUGUCAAAAGUAAGAAAAUCAGACAAAUAUCUAUCUAAAGUAAGAAAAUCAGACAAGUAUCUAUCUAAAGUAAGAAAAUCAGAAAGAAGAUAAGAACAAGAGGCUCACCACGGUGGUGCCGGCGACGAGAUCGGCUCAGGCGAUCAACGGCGGUGAAAACGGGGACGGGGCGUGACGGACCGCUAAAUCUAGACAAAUCUCGGGGAAAAUGGAGCUCCGAGGUCGAGCUUCGAGAGGAGAAAGCUUAACUAGUGUGGCUCGGGCAUUUCAUCGAACACCUCAUGUGCAUAGGAUGUGAGCUAGAGCACCCAAAUGCCCUCCCCUCGCCGGCCAGAAAAAACGGAGUGCUCUGCCACGGCGAUGGGUAUAUAUAGGCAAAUUAUUUGUCCCGGUUCGUGGCAUAAAUCGGGACUAAAGCCCCCCCCCUUCUAUACCGGUUUAAGGCACGAACCGGUACCAAUGGAUGUGAGCCAGGAGCUCGGCCCAUUGGUCCCGGUUCGUGCCUAGAACCGGGUCAAAUGGGUCCACACGAACCGGGACCAAUACCAACGAGGCCCCGGCCGCCCCCCUGGGCCCAUGAACCGGGUCUAAUGCCCCCCAUGGGUCCCGGUUCGUAAAGAAUCGGGAUUAAUGGGUUGGCCAGGCCCGAACCAAAGCCAUGUUUUCUACUAGUGGUACUCCGUUCCUAACCGCACUCUGACGUGGUAACUUUCAAAAAUUCCUAGCGUGUGAAGUACGCGACAACAGUGAACACUAUUAGCCAGUACUCGGUAAUACCGAUCCGGCAGUCGAUCGCUAGUUUUGCUUGUUGGAAGCCCGAUCGGGGUACUUCCACGGCGAGAUGGCGUGGGUUUACGCAUCGGGAAAGAUAAGCCAUGCCACGGACUUUUUAUACACGCCACAUCGUCUGUGCACAAGACUCACCCUGCCAGAUUUUCAAUAAACAAAUGAUUAUGAUUAUAUAUUUUUGUGUUCUUCAUUAUUGAAGUAUUUAGGUUGCACCAAACUAAUGGAAUAUAUGCAUGCACUAGUAAAAAAAAAAUCAGAAACACUAACGCCACACUUGUGGGCGUUCCCCAACUCGCCCACACGGCUGGAUCGUCGUUCACUAUCUUUUGCACGAAUCUUGAGAGGAAGGGUGGAUUCGGUGUGCCACGUAGGACAGGGUUGGUGUAUGGGCGUUGGAGAGUUUGCCCACACGCUCGCACCAUGCUGUUUGCCAGCUGCGCUGUAUGGGCGAACUAGUUUCUGCCAACACAGUCAGCUACCUACUUCAUGCGCGUGUGGGCGAACUGCUUUUCGCUCACACGACACUCCUAAGUUGUGGAUGGAAACUGCAGUUAGGCGAACGUGGCAACUAGGUAAACACACAUGGCAACUGUGAUGUUUUUGCUAGAUGGUAACUGCAGUUGCGCGUACGUGGCAACCAGAUAAGCACACAUGGCAACCGUGAUUAAUAAUACAUGGCAACUAUGGUUGGACUACACGUGACAACUAGGUAAACACACAUGGCAACUACUAUUUGACCAUAUGUGACAAGUAGUUAAUCACACAGGGCAACUGCGGUUUGAUUAUACGCGGCAACUACCAUAAAUUAGACAUGGCAAUUAUAGUUAACCAAAAUAGAUAGAGUUGCCAUGCUUUUACAACUACACUUGCCAUCCCGGAUAACUACAUCUGCCAAUUAGUAUGGCAACUAAAUCGUCAUCCCGCAGUGUACCUAACGUAGCUGUGCCAGAACGUGUGGGCAUUUUUGCUUCGUGCCACACGCGCGGGGUGGAGAUGAGUAGUACUUGUUGGCGUUUGGCACGAAGUAGCCGCGCCCACACGUGUGGGCAAUUCUAAUGUCCGCCCACACACAGCCCGUGUGGGCUGCCUCCUGCUCACAUCACACACGGUGUGUGGACGCAUGUCGAAUAUACUGGUUCNNNNNNNNNNNNNNNNNNNNNNNNNNNNNNNNNNNNNNNNNNNNNNNNNNNNNNNNNNNNNNNNNNNNNNNNNNNNNNNNNNNNNNNNNNNNNNNNNNNNNNNNNNNNNNNNNNNNNNNNNNNNNNNNNNNNNNNNNNNNNNNNNNNNNNNNNNNNNNNNNNNNNNNNNNNNNNNNNNNNNNNNNNNNNNNNNNNNNNNNNNNNNNNNNNNNNNNNNNNNNNNNNNNNNNNNNNNNNNNNNNNNNNNNNNNNNNNNNUUUCUUUUCAUGCUAUAUACUCCCUUCGUCUCAAAAUUCUUGUCUUAGAUUUGUCUAAGUACGGAUGUAUCAAGUAUACAUCCGUACUUAGACAAAUCUAAAACAAGAAUUUUGAAACGGAGGGAGUAUGUUUUUUAUUUUCCUGAUUAUGCCUAGCUACACAUUGAAGUGAAUUGUGGUUGCAUUUUCUCAAUAUGUGCAAAGACCCACUUAUGUAAAAUAUGUGUUGUUUGGUAUGAUGUUAGAUAUAUUGGUACCGGACAGAGUCGCCGGAAUUCCACAUCCGCCGUUGUGGGACGGGCAGGUGAGUGGCAGCGGGGCACUAAAGGCACUGUGCAUAGAUGAUUGUCGCUGGCGGUGAGUCUACCAGGGGCCGCCGAAAGAGGGGCAUCGGCGACGACAUGCGUUGGGGUUUCUUGGACUGAGGUAGCCUAAGUGGGUGGUUCGCUUCUCGAUUUUGAGCCGAGGGAUCCACAUAGUAGUGCUUGCUAUAUGUAAAGGGGAGGGAAGAGAGAUGCCAGCGACACACAAUUGGCUAUGCUGCUUGGGUUACGUAGGCUGGCCGCGGGCAUCUCUGGUGUCAGUCACCGACCCUGUAGGCAGAUGAUGGCUACGAGCCUACGACCCCCGCUAGGAGGAGGGUUUUCCUUUUUUUGACAUAUGGAGGAGGGUUUCCUUUGCCUAUGCUUGUAAAUAAGUAGUGUAAUACAGUCAUCAAUAAAUCCUAUUUUAAAAAUACUCUUCAGUGUUUGUUUUUAUUUUUGGUGUAGUACUUUUUAGUAUGUAGUUGAUUGUUUUGUACUCCCUCCGUUCGGAAUUACUUGUCUCGAAAAUGGAUGUAUCUAGAACUAAAAUACAUCUAGAUACAUCCAUUUUGGCGACAAGUAAUUCCGAAUGGAGGGAGUACAAUUAAGUUGCACUUUUUUCGCUACGUAAUUUUUAGCAAAAGUGUAAUGGGCUAUUUUUGUUUAUAGAGGAGUACCUACGGAUUUUCUAUUACCCUAUGAUCUGGUCUUACAGAUUGGACGAUAGCGGCACUGCGGUGUCGUUUCUCUCUUGGGAGCAUCGUUUGUGGAAUAGCGCUGGAAGACAGAGGCAGGAGGUGGAGCGGCGUUACAUCUUCCGCAUCGACGACGGCGGGUCUCGGCAGCGUGGCGCAGUGGAGUCUUAUCGUCCGAUGCGUGUAGAUGGACUCGCGCAGGAGGAUGACGAUGUCUGGUGCCGUGGGGGCGUCAACGGCAAGCCUGGCAAGGUCGAUGCAUCAAUACCUGUUUUGAAGAUGGAUCGGUGGAAGACGGCGGCGAUAACCUAUGAGAGUGCGUCGGACCAGUGUGUACCCCAUACCUAAUGUGCAGCGGUUGGGGCAUUCGGCUUUAGAUGUUAGGCUUAGGUGUGAGGUCUGGGUAUUCAAUUCACACUAUCUGCACCCCUUUAUCAAGUGGAUAGGAGUAGCGACAGAUGUUGCCAAGAUGACAGCUUCAGACAUAUUGAUAUAUAAUUUUGUGAAUAAUUAAUAAAAUGAAUGUAUGCAUCGCCCAGAUGGAUGCAGAGGCCGGGGGUCAACCUCCUUUUAAAAAAAAACUAGUCUUUUAUUCAAGUCAGAACUAUGUUUUGUUUUGGUUUUCAGAAAUAAUACGCUACUAAUACCCAAUUUCAUUCACAACUGAAUUUGAACUGAAGCUAGCCUACCUAAAAGCCCACAUCCACCCAAAACUUAUAAAUACAACCAAAAAUCUAAAGUGGCCGUAGGAUCAAGUUUUUCUCAGUUGACGCCGUAGAUACCCCAAAAACAAAACCAAAACAUACUGUCACUUAUCGUAUAUAUACCGAAAUGUAAUACUCCCUCCGUCCCUAAAUAUUUGUCUUUCUAUGGAUUUCGAUAAGUGACUACAUAUAAAGCAAAAUGAGUGAAUCUACACUCCAAAAUAUGUCUAUAUAAACCCAUAUGUGGUAACCAUUUGAAAUCCCAAAAGACAAAUAUUUAGAAACGAAGGGAGUAUUUUUUUGGUUUUGCUUAGGUAUAAAAAAACGCGUGCGAACGGCUAAUCAGGUGUGACGGAUUACGUGCUCCGAAUUGGAUUAAGCAGUUAGGAGUGGUGGCCGAUUCAGUAGUCGAUCGACUGCCUGAUCGAUCCGUGACGAAUCAGCGAGCAGAUCGUGCAAAUCAAAUCAAAGGGUUACCCCUCCUGCUGUCUGUCAGUAGUCGUCAGGCUCAGUCUGACCACAGCAGCACGAUCGAGCCUUUAAUUCGAUCUCCGUCUGUCUACAAGUUGGCCAGCAUCUCGACGGCCAUUGAUUAAGCAAUUACUAGGAGUAGAAAAAUCCGUCGUCCUCUGCAACCCCUCCCUGGAAACGUAGUAAAAAAGAAUGGAACCUUCUCAUCAAAUUUUUACUCGGCUUGCACGUACUUUCAGCAGUCAACGUGAAUGGCUAGCUGGCUAGUGGAUAUGUUAGAGUUGUGUCGAAUAUUAUUGUACAAGUUAGGUUACAGUUGGACUUGGAGUCGUACUGUGUGUAGACAGGAUAGGAGUUGUGUCCUAAUAGGACACUUAUAUCCUAAACCUCUCAUAUAUAGCGGGGGUAGACACACGAUGUAACCUAUGCUAACAUAAUAGCACAAUCACGCAGGGGGAGCCGGCUGCGUGUGCCGGUGCCCGGGCGGCCAGGGUGCGGUAUUGUGACGGUGUCAUGGGGAGGAGCGCCCAUAGUCAGGCCCCGAGGAUGUAGCCAUAUCGGUGAACCUCGUUAACAAAUCUUGGUGUCAUCCUCGUGUGAUUCCUUGGUCCUCGGUAGAUCGACGGAGCGCCUCGGAUUUAUUCUAACAAGUGGUAUCAGAACAAGGUUCGAGGAGGUCGCAGAUUGUUGUUCUACAGGAUGAAGAAGCUUAUCAAAAACGGCAGAAGACGUGUCGGUCAGAUCAUGUUGGGACGGCGGCAACAGCAGGUGCAGGCGCGUCAUGCGACGAGGCGUGGGCGAUCCCGAGGCGAGGCCGCGGGGUACUAGCAUGAUUGGAUCAGCAAUCGAAAGGCAGCGGUAGCAUGCAACGUAGCCUACAGCGGCGACGGGAUUCGGAUCGGAUCGUGUUCAUGAGAUCGAAUCGAAGACGAGGCAACAGCGUGGCUAGUCGGGGCACUGGUCAGGGCGCGCGUCAGGCCCGUGAGGGACGAAGCCCAGGGGAGGCCGACGCAAGAGUGGCUAGUCGGGGCAUUGGCCAGGUAGGCACGGAGGAGCGGUGCAGCAGUGCAUUGGUCACGAGAGGCUGGAUGAACUUUGUGCAUGCGAGGCAUUGUGUCAUUGCUGCUACAGGAGGUUGUACAGGAGCUGAGAUUUGUUAAGGAAAAAAAGAGCGCCACGAGCCAACACGUUGUAAUCAGGAGCAGGAGAGUAAAGGAAUAAAGUCUAAGCUUGGUGUGGUGUACGUCAAGAUGGUUUGCAUGGACACAGGAAAAGCUAAGCUACGUGGGAUUUUAUAUUGGCUCUUUUGCUUGGUACUUGGUCAUGUAUGGAGAUGGCAGCGUGUAGGUAUUGUUUCGGCUGUGACCGGAUAGUAAUCAGUAGGCCGCAGUAGGAGCAGAGUUAUCGGCGAGAUUUCCAAGUCGCUGCCGGAGCGGCGAUGGCGCAACGUGCAAGCAGCGGAGUCUUCAGGAGAUCGAUCGAACUACAUCGGUUUGUCAGAGGCAGCAGGCCGAGCAAGCUGCGGGGACGCGCGAGCCAAGCGAGGCCCAAGUGCGGGCAACUCGCACUGAAGGGCAGGUGGCUUGGUAAAGCACGUGUCUGCUAGAGAGAAGCGCGUGUGCCGGUGUGCGGCAGCCAGGCAAGCGGAUGCGGUCUGUGAUGUGGCACUUGGCAGAGGCUGUUUGGUACGUGGCCGGCUCAAGAAGUUACCGAUUGAUGCUGCUGGUGUGCGUACAUGGCUGAGAUGACACGAGAUUUGUUUGGGAAAAAAGGGGCGUCAGAGAACACCAUGAUGCGUGCAUUGAUCAGCAGGAAAUAUAGUAAAUCAAGUCUACAGUAGCCAGGUGUGGUAGACAUGGAAUUCUUUACACAGAGAAGGCUACAAGGGAUGUUGUUUUGACUUUCUUUGCUUUGUACAUGGAUUGUACGUGAUGGCAGCAUGAAGGUGUGUCGAGACGCGGCGUUACAUGUUUAUAUAAGAUCAACAAGAGUUGGCGGGUGGAUAGCACGGUUAUUUUUUGGUCCGAUGGCUACAUGUUUUCUCAAAUGUUGCAUCAAGGAUGUGAUCUGUUGGUGCGAAGGAUUGCUUGAUUGUGUAGCAGAACGCCAAGUUGAUGAAGAUGGAUGUGCGCGACGAGGAUGGCGACGUGCGUAUAAGGCUCCAAGGAGUCUGGAGCAUGUUGUGACAGGAUCAUGCAAACACAGGGCGUCAAGCAAUGCACGAGAUGUGCGGGGCGGACACGACGCAGGGUGAAGCAUGAUUGCAGUUGGAUAAUUUCGGCUGGGUCGGACUGGACGGUCUGAUGGACCGACAUGGAUGUUGGUCAAAGCAGAAGACGGCGGUGAUUUCAGCGACGACGACAUAGGAGCGUGAUGCUAAUGGUGGCCGACUUCUGGGGCAUGGCAACACGUGGUGAAUGUCUGAGGACUUGUGCGGCUUCGACGGACUAUGACGCAGGGUUGAUUCAAGGCAGUGUAGACAUAAGAGCUUGAAGUCAACAGGGCGCGGGGGUGGCAUGUACAACCACCAUGGAGUCAUGUUGAAGGUGGAGCUGGAGUCUAAUGGAUGACUUUACUCUGUGCUGAUGGAGGGGCUACGGCGUAAAUGCAUGGAGAGUCGAAGCCUAUUUCAGCGGGAUAGCGAGAGACACGUGGAUCGGACUGGGGCCCAAUUGUCUGAUGAAGACGUGAUACUCGGCAUCGGUCGAUAAUGAUCGGUGGUUCUCUGCACUGGGGGUUGAGGCAGUGGGGGCUAGCUACCCGGGAGACUCGACCAGGACAGCAGAGGCUCGACGCGGUGAUAGCGGCGAGGCGUGCGGUAAGCACGGGACACAGCGACAGGCCAAGGUAUUGAUGGUCAGACAUGUGGUCAGACAAACUGUGCAGGGGGUGCUGAAGCAGUGUUGAUGAGUACCAGAUUCAAGUUCGUGACUGGGUCUAUCGGUGCUAGUUGAUGGACAGGAGUUGACCAUGAAGAAUCUGAGAAAGGGGCGGAAAGUCUGAAAUUGUCAAAGGCUGAGAGAGUACAUGGUCGUAUAUUCUGUGGUGUUCUGUGCACAUGGCAAAGUGCGGAUGACAAAUACAGAAGGAGGCGGAGUGCUGUAGCUGUGGGACAUGCCAGAGACUAUCCGGAAAAGGGGUGAGACAACUGUGAAUUUGACUCAGGGUGACACAGGACGACGGUGAAAUUCCUUCAAGUUUCAGACAAGCAGUCAAGAAAGAGCGGUGACGUUGAGUUCAGGUAACUCUUAUAUGUGGCGUCCAAUAUGUGAAUUGUUCAUUUUCAAGCAGACAGUGGUCGGUGUGUGAUGGCGUUGAACGGAUUCUCCGGAAGUUGGAAGCACAAGGUAGAGUAAUGAGGAACUUAAUUUUGCUCGAGUGUUGAUUGUGAAGAAGACAAGAAGGGACUACAGUUGCAGGUGGAGUCACAUGGAGUCUGGGAGUAGCAGCGGUGCUCAUGGCGUAUCUCAAGUCCAAUGUACAUGGGGGUUCGAUGCACGGACGAAUUCAAGAUGGUGGAGAAUAUUCACCAAGGUGGAGUUUGUUAGAGUUGUGUCGAAUAUUAUUGUACAAGUUAGGUUACAGUUGGAGUUGGAGUCGUACUGUGUGUAGACAGGGUAGGAGUUAUGUCCUAAUAGGACACUUAUAUCCUAGACCUCUCAUAUAUAGCGGGGGUAGACACACGAUGUAACCUAUGCCAACAUAAUAGCACAUGCACGCGGGGUGAGCCGGCGGCGUGUGCCGGUGCCCGGGCGGCCAGGGUGCGGUAUUGUGACGGUGUCAUGGGGAGGAGCGCCCAUAGUCAGUCCCCGGGGAUGUAGCCAUAUCGGUGAACCUCGUUAACAAAUCUUGGUGUCAUCCUCGUGUGAUUGCUUGGUCCUCGGUAGAUCGACGGAGCGCCUCGGAUUUAUUCUAACAAGUGAUAUCAGAGCAAGAUUUGAGGAGGUCACAGAUUGUUGUUCUAGAGGAUGAAGAAGCUUAUCGAAAAUGGCAAAAGACGUGUUGGUCAGAUCAUGUUGGGACGGCGGCAAUAGCGGGUGCAGGCGCAUCAUGCGACGAGUCGCGGGCGAUCCCGAGGCGAGGCCGCGGGGUACUAGCGUGAUUGGAUCAGCAACCGAAAGGCAGCAGUAGCAUGCAACGUAGCCUACAGCGGCGACGGGAUUCGGAUCGGAUCGUGUUCACGAGAUCGAAUCGAAGACGAGGCAGUAGCGUGGCUAUUCGGGGCACUGGUCAGGGCACGCGUCAGGCCCGUGAGGGACAAAGCCCAGGGGAGGCCGACGCAAGCGUGGCUAGUCGGGGCAUUGGCCAGGUAGGCACGGAGGAGCCGUGCAGCAGUGCAUUGGUCGCACGAGGCUGGAUGAACUUUGUGCAUGCGAGGCAUUGUGUCAUUGCUGCUACAGGAGGUUGUACAUGAGCUGAGAUUUGUUAAGGAAAAAAAGAGCGCCACGAGCCAACAUGUUGCAAUCUGGAGCAGGAGAGUAAAGGAAUAAAGUCUAAGCUUGGUGUGGUGUACGUCAAGAUGGUUUGCAUGGACACAGGAAAAGCUAAGCUACAUGGGAUUUUAUAUUGGCUCUUUUGCUUGGUACAUGGUCAUGUAUGGAGAUGGAGCGUGUAGGUAUUGUUUCGGCUGUGACCGGAUAGUAAUCAGUAGGGCGCAGCAGGAGCAGAGUUAUCGGCGAGAUUUCCAAGUCGCGGUCGGAGCGGCGAUGGCGCAACGUGCAAGCAGCGGAGUCUUCAGGAGAUCGAUCGAACUACAUCGGUUUGUCAGAGGCAGCAGGCCGAGCAAGCUGCGGGGACGCGCGGGCCAAGCGAGGCCCAAGUGCGGGCGACUCGCACUGAAGGGCAGGUGGCUUGGUAAGGCACGCGUCUACUAGAGAGAAGCGCGUGUGCCGGUGUGCGGCAGCCAGGCAAGCGGAUGCGGUCUGUGAUGUGGCACUUGGCGGAGGCUGUUUGGUACGUGGCCGGCUCCAGAAGUUGCCGAUUGAUGCUGCUGGUGUGCGUACAUGGCUGAGAUGACACGGGAUUUGUUUGGGAAAAAAGGGACGUCAGAGAACACCAUGAUGCGUGCAUCGAUGAGCAGGAAAUAUAGUAAAUCAAGUCUACAGUACCAGGUGUGGUAGACAUGGAAUUCUUUACACGGAGAAGGCUACAAGGGAUGUUGUUUUGACUUUCUUUGCUUUGUACAUGGGUUGUACGUGAUGGCAGCAUGAAGGUGUGUCGAGACGCGGCGUUACAUGUUCAUAUAAGAUCAACAAGAGUUGGCGGGUGGAUAGCACGGUUAUUUUUUGGUCUGAUGGCUACAUGUUUUCUCAGAUGUUGCAUCAAGGAUGUGAUCUGUUGGUGCGAAGGAUUGCUUGAUUGUGUAGCGGAACGCCAAGUUUAUGAAGAUGGAUGUGCGCGACGAGGAUGGCGACGUGCGUAUAAGGCUCGAAGGAGUCUGGAGCAUGUUGUGACAGGAUCAUGCAAACACAGGGCAUCAAGCAAUGCACGAGAUGUGCGGGGCGGACACGACGCAGGGUGAAGCAUGAUUGCAGUCGGAUAAUUUCGGCUGGGUCGGACUGGACGAUCUGAUGGACCGACAUGGAUGUUGGUCAAAGCAGAAGACGGCGGUGAUUUCAGCGACGACGACACAGGAGCGUGAUGCUGAUGGUGGCCGACUUCUGGGGCGUGGAAACACGUGGUGCAUGUCUGAGGACUUGUGCGGCUUCAACGGACUAUGACGCAGGGUUGAUUCAAGGCAGUGUACACAUAAGAGCUUGAAGUCAACAGGGCGCAGGGGUGGCAUGUACAACCACCAUGGAGUCAUGUUGAAGGUGGAGCUGGAGUCUAAUGGAUGACUUCACUCUGUGCUGAUGGAGGGGUUACGGCGUAAAUGCAUGGAGAGUCGAAGCCUAUUUCAGCGGGAUAGCGAGAGACACGUGGAUCAGACUGGGGCCCAAUUGUCUGAUGAAGACGUGAUACUCGGCAUCAGUCGGUAAUGAUCAGUGGUUCUUUGCAGUGGGGGUUGAGGAAGUGGGGGCUAGCUACCCGUGAGACUCGACCAGGACAGCAGAGGCUCGACGCGGUGAUAGCGGCGAGGCGUGCGGUAAGCACGGGACACAGCGACAGGCCAAUGCACUGAUGGUCAGACAUGUGGUCAGACAAACUGUGCAGGGGGUGCUGAAGCAGUGUUGAUGAGUACCAGAUUCAAGUUGGUGACUGGGUCUAUCGGUGCUAGUUGAUGGACAUGAGUUGACCAUGAAGAAUCUGAAAGUGGCGGAAAGUCUGAAAUUGUCAAAGGCUGAGAGAGUACAUGGCCGUAUAUUCUGUGGUGUUCAGUGCACAUGGCAAAGUGCGGAUGACAAAUACAGAAGGAGGCGGAGUGCUGUAGCUAUGGGACAUGCCAGAGACUAUCCGGAAAAGGGGUGAGACAACUGUGAAUUUGACUCAGGGUGACACAGGGCGACGGUGAAAUUCCUUCAAGUUUCAGACAAGCAGUCAAGAAAGAGCGGUGACGUUGAGUUCAGGUAACUCUUAUAUGUGGCGUCCAAUAUGUGAAUUAUUCAUUUUCAUGCAGACAGUGGUCGGUGUGUGAUGGCGUUGAACGGAUUCUCCGAAAGUUGGAAGCACAAGGUAGAGUAAUGAGGAACUUAAUUUUGCUCGAGUGUUGAUUGUGAAGAAGACAAGAAGGGACUACAGUUGCAGGUGGAGUCACAUGGAGUCUGGGAGUAGCAGCGGUGCUCAUGGCGUAUCUAAAGUCCAAUGUACAUGGGGGUUCGAUGCACGGACGAAUUCAAGAUGGUGGAGAAUAUUCGCCAAGGUGGAGUUUGUUAGAGUUGUGUCGAAUAUUAUUGUACAAGUUAGGUUACAGUUGGACUUGGAGUCGUACUGUGUGUAGACAGGGUAGGAGUUGUGUCCUAAUAGGACACUUAUAUCUUAGACCUCUCAUAUAUAGCGGGGGUAGACACACGAUGUAACCUAUGCCAACAUAAUAGCACAGGCACGCGGGGGGAGCCGGCGGCGUGUGCCGGUGCCCGGGCGGCCAGGGUGCGGUAUUGUGACGGUGUCAUGGGGAGGAGCGCCCAUAGUCAAGCCCCGGGGAUGUAGCCAUAUCGGUGAACCUCGUUAACAAAUCUUGGUGUCAUCCUCGUGUGAUUGCUUGGUCCUCGGUAGAUCGACGGAGCGCCUCGGAUUUAUUCUAACAAGUGGUAUCAGAGCAAGGUUUGAGGAGGUCGCAGAUUGUUGUUCUAGAGGAUGAAGAAGCUUAUCGAAAACGGCAGAAGACGUGUCGGUCAGAUCAUGUUGGGACAGCGGCAACAGCGGGUGCAGGCGCAUCAUGCGACGAGGCGCGGGCGACCACGAGGCGAGGCCGCGGGGUACUAGCAUGAUAGGAUCAGCAACCAAAAGGCAGCAGUAGCAUGCAACGUAGCCUACAGCGGCGACGGGAUUCGGAUCAGAUCGUGUUCACGAGAUCGAAUCGAAGAUGAGGCAGCAACGUGGCUAGUCGGGGCACUGGUUAGGGCGCGUGUCAGGCCCGUGAGGGACGAAGCCCAGGGAAGGCCGACACAAGCGUGGCUAGUCGGGGCAUUGGCCAGGUAGGCACGGAGGAGCCAUGCAGCAGUGCAUUGGUCGCACGAGGCUGGAUGAACUUUGUGCAUGCGAGGUAUUGUGUCAUUGCUGCUACAGAUGGUUGUACAGGAGCUGAGAUUUGUUAAGGAAAAAAAGAGCGCCACGAGCCAACACAUUGCAAUCAGGAGCAGGAGAGUGAAUGAAUAAAGUCUAAGCUUGGAGUGGGUUACGUCAAGAUGGUUUGCAUGGACACAGGUAAAGCUAAGCUACGUGGGAUUUUAUAUUGGCUCUUUUGCUUGUUACAUGGUCAUGUAUGGAGAUGGCAGCGUGUAGGUAUUGUUUCGGCUGUGACCGGAUAGUAAUCAGUAGGCCGCAGCAGGAGCAGAGUUAUCGGCGAGAUUUCCAAGUCGCUGUCGAAGCGCGAUGGCGUAACGUGCAAGCAGCGGAGUCUUCAGGAGAUCGAUCGAACUACAUCGGUUUGUCAGAGGCAGCAGGCCGAGCAAGCUGUGGGGACGCGCGGGCCAAGUGAGGCCCAAGUGCGGGCGACUCACACUGAAGGGCAAGUGGCUUGGUAAAGCACACGUUUGCUAGAGAGAAGCGCGUGUGCCGGUGUGCGGCAGCCAGGCAAGCGGAUGCGGUCUGUGAUGUGGCACUUGGUGGAGGCUGUUUAGUACGUGGCCGGCUCAAGAAGUUGCCAAUUGAUGCUGCUGGUGUGUGUACAUGGCUGAGAUGACACGAGAUUUGUUUGGGAAAAAAGGGGCGUCAGAGAACACCAUGAUGCGUGCAUUGAUGAGCAGGAAAUAUAGUAAAUCAAGUCUACAGUAGCCAGGUGUGGUAGACAUGGAAUUCUUUACACGGAGAAGGCUACAAGGGAUGUUGUUUUGACUUUCUUUGCUUUGUACAUGGGUUGUACGUGAUGGCAGCAUGAAGGUGUGUCGAGACGCGGCGUUACAUGUUCAUAUAAGAUCAACAAGAGUUGGUGGGUGGAUAGCACGGUUAUUUUUUGGUCCGAUGGCUACAUGUUUUCUCAGAUGUUGCAUCAAGGAUGUGAUUUGUUGGUGCGAAGGAUUGCUUGAUUGUGUAGCGGAACGCCAAGUUUAUGAAGAUGGAUGUGCGCGACGAGGAUGGCCACGUGCGUAUAAGGCUCGAAGGAGUCUGGAGCAUGUUGUGACAGGAUCAUGCAAACACAGGGCGUCAAGCAAUGCAUGAGAUGUGCGGGGCGGACACGACGCAGGGUGAAGCAUGAUUGCAGUUGGAUAAUUUCGGCUGGGUCGGACUGGACGGUCUGAUGGACCGACAUGGAUGUUGGUCAAAGCAGAAGACGACAGUGAUUUCAGCGACGACGACACAGGAGCGUGAUGCUGAUGGUGGCCGACUUCUGGGGCGUGGAAACACGUGGUACAUGUCUGAGGACUUGUGCGGCUUCGACGGACUAUGACGCAGGGUUGAUUCAAGGCAGUGUACACAUAAGAGCUUGAAGUCAACAGGGCGCAGGGGUGGCAUGUACAACCACCAUGGAGUCAUGUUGAAGGUGGAGCUGGAGUCUAAUGGAUGACUUCACUCUCUGCCGAUGGAGGGGUUACGGCGUAAAUGCAUGGAGAGUCGAAGCCUAUUUCAGCGGGAUAGCGAGGGACACGUGGAUCGGACUGGGGCCCAAUUGUCUGAUGAAGACGUGAUACUCGGCAUCGGUCGGUAAUGAUCGGUGGUUCUCUGCAGUGGGGGUUGAGGUAGUGGGGGCUAGCUACCCGUGAGACUCGACCAGGACAGCAGAGGCUCGACGCGGUGAUAGCGGCGAGGCGUGCGGUAAGCACGGGACACAACGAUAGGCCAAGGCACUGAUGGUCAGACAUGUGGUCAGACAAACUGUGCAGGGGGUGCUGAAGCAGUGUUGAUGAGUACCGGAUUCAAGUUGGUGACUGGGUCUAUCGGUGCUAGUUGAUGGACAGGAGUUGACCAUGAAGAAUCUGAGAAAGUGGCGGAAAGUCUGAAAUUGUCAAAGGCUGAGAGAGUACAUGGCCGUAUAUUCUGUGGUGUUCAGUGCACAUGGCAAAGUGCGGAUGACAAAUACAGAAGGAGGCGGAGUGCUGUAGCUGUGGGACAUGCCAAAGACUAUCCGGAAAAGGGGUGAGACAACUGUGAAUUUGACUCAGGGUGACACAGGGCGACGGUGAAAUUCCUUCAAGUUUCAGACAAGCAGUCAAGAAAGAGCGGUGACGUUGAGUUCAGGUAACUCUUAUAUGUGGCGUCCAAUAUGUGAAUUAUUCAUUUUCAUGCAGACAGUGGUCGGUGUGUGAUGGCGUUGUACGUAUUCUCCGGAAGUUGGAAGCACAAGGUAGAGUAAUGAGGAACUUAAUUUUGCUCGAGUGUUGAUUGUGAAGAAGACAAGAAGGGACUACAGUUGCAGGUGGAGUCACAUGGAGUCUGGGAGUAGCAGCGGUGCUCAUGGCGUAUGUCAAGUCCAAUGUACAUGGGGUUCGAUGCACGGACGAAUUCAAGAUGGUGGGGAAUAUUCGCCAAGAUGGAGUUUGUUAGAGUUGUGUUGAAUAUUAUUGUACAAGUUAGGUUACAGUUGGACUUGGAGUCGUACUGUGUGUAGACAGGGUAGGAGUUGUGUCCUAAUAGGACACUUAUAUCCUAGACCUCUCAUAUAUAGCGGGGGUAGACACACGAUGUAACCUAUGCCAACAUAAUAGCACAGGCACGCGGGGGGAGCCGGCGGCGUGUGCUGGUGCCCGGGCGGCCAGGGUGCGGUAUUGUGACGGUGUCAUGGGGAGGAGCGCCCAUAGUCAAGCCCCGGGGAUGUAGCCAUAUCGGUGAACCUCGUUAACAAAUCUUGGUGUCAUCCUCGUGUGAUUGCUUGGUCCUCGGUAGAUCGACGGAGCGCCUUAGAUUUAUUCUAACAGUAUACACUAAUCGGGUGUCAGAAGCAAAAGGAGACUAUAAAAAGGCCACACCCAAAUGGGAACUAUAACAUGGGAGGAUCGUUUCGAUCGGGGAGCGAGUCUGAUCAUAACUCGGCUCAUCAAAAGAAGACGUACUCGACGAAGCUCCAACGUAGAAUCCUGUCGUCUUUUUGGAGUAGUGGACGGUGAGGUUAGGUUUCUGGUCGUGUAGCGAGAUUUGGUGUCCGGCGUUUGUUUUAGACCAAUUCAAAGGUUCAACGUCCAGGAAGCUGGUUCUUAAGGACACGUGCACAAAGACUUAUCGGUAGUCAUCGACAAGGUCAAUUCGACUUCGAUAGGGGAGCGACGAGUGGCUCGUUCUGACGGCGGUAGUGGUCGUUUGAUAGUCUCGAAAUCUCGAUGUAAGUUUUAUUAUGUGUAAGCGUCCCGAUCUAGAUCUAAGGAGGGGUUAGGAGGGGAGAGAGGACGAAGGAGGCCGGAGGGGAAGAUCAGCUUCUCUUAAUCAGUUUUGACAUAAUAAUUCUCGAUGCCCAUUCUCUCUCAGCCUCACCUAGAAAUACCCACGUCACGCAUGCCACACACGCAACGCGUCCUGACUACGCGGGCCCACUGAUUGCUUCCUCUCCACUUGUCUUGACUCCGUCAGCUCUGUCCGGUCGUGCCUCGGUUGCCUCGCUGGCCAGUGGGGCCGUCGCGGCUGGUGGGGUAGCCGUGACAGUCAUGACAUUCCCCCCUGCUUGUGUGCCGACUUGUCCCCAAGGCGGCGUAGAGGGGAACCGCUGCUGCAAUGCCACUGGAUCUUCCCAAGUUGACAGCGACGGGGGAAGGUUGCUCCAUUGCACCCGGAUGCGAGGGCGUGUGUCGCCGGCCACGCGCACCAUCUUGCGGUCAAGCACCAGCUCUGGAACAUGUUCUGCCUGCAAAAUCGAGUUAUUUGGAGGAAGAUCAUCACUUAAUGGCACGGUGGCUCCAAAGGCCUUCUUCAGUUGCGAGACAUGCACCAUCGGGUGGAUAUGGCUAGAGGCAGGCAAUUGAAGUUUGUACGCCACUGCCUCGAUUCAAGCCAGCACUCUGUAUGGGCCGUACUAGCGGAAGGAGAGCUUCUGGUGUGGCCGCUGCGCCACCGACGAUUGGAUGAAAGACUACAACCUGAGCAGCACUACAUCCCCCACAGCAAAUUCUCUAUAUGUACGGUGUCGAUCAGCCCAAACUUUCAUCCAAUCCUGUGCGCGCUUGAGCUAUUGCUGCAAGUGCUCAAGCAUCACUUCUCUUUCCUGGAGCCAUGCUGCAAGAUCUGGGACUACACAUUCGUCCUUCUGUGCGACGCCAAACUCUCGGGGAAGGUGGCCGUAGAUGACUUCGAAUGGAGUCUUGCCCAGAGCCGAAUGAAAAGAUGUGUUGUACCAGUAUUCCGCGAGGAACAACCAUUUGGACCAGUUGCUAGGGCAGGAGUGGACUGCGCACCUUAGGUAUCCUUCUAGACACUGGUUGACGCGUUCAGUUUGCCCGUCGGUCUGGGGAUGGUAUGAUGAGCUGAGACGUAGGUCCGUCCGACAAAGCUUGAACAGUUCUUGCCACACAUGCCCUGUAAAAAUUCAGUCCCGAUCUGAUAUGAUGGCUAGUGGCAAGCCGUGGAGCCGGAAGAUUUCCUUCAUAAAGACUUUGGCCACUUGGAGAGCUAUGAACGGGUGAGUUAAGGGCACGAAGUGCGCGUAUUUGGAGAACUUGUCAACUACUACCAAGACUGUGUCGUUCCCUCCUGAGCGAGGCAACCCUUCAAUGAAAUUGAGUGAGAUAACUGACCACGGUUUUUGAGGUAUUGGCAGUGGUUGAAGGAGCCCAGCUGGCGAUAUACGCUCUGUUUUCGCUUGCUGACACACCAUACAGUUGCGCACCAGGGUCUUGACCUGCAGUUUCAUGCCUUUCCACGCGAACAGUUGUUUGACUCUGUUGUAGGUGGCAUGGAACCCCGAAUACCCCCCCCCCCUCCGCAGCACUGUCGUGGAGCGCUCGGAUCAGAUGUUGUUGGGUGUCAUCAUCCUCACCAAUCCACACUCUCCCCAGGAAGCGCGGGAUGCCAUCCUGCAAUGUAUACCCGGGCUCGCUGUCCGGCGCGAGAGCUAGCUUUGUCAUAGGUUGCUGCACCGCUGGAUCUGCUUGAUAGCUGCGUUUGAUAGCUUCUAACCACGUGGGUUUACGUACGGAGAUUGCUCCCAUCUCUGAUUCUGACUUGUGCUCGCGUCGCGACAGCGCGUCUGCCGCUCGAUUUGUGACUCCUGUCUUGUACUGGAUUGUGUAUUGCAGGCCUAUUAGCUUCGUAAAGCCCGUUGUUGGAUCGGGGUAUUGAGUCGUUGAUCUGUCAAGUUCAAUAGGCUUUUUUGAUCUGUGUGAACCACAAACUCUGAAUGUUGCAGGUAGGGACGCCAGUGGUCGACGGCCAGAAGCAAGGCCAGGCACUCUUUUUUGUACGCCGAGAGGCCUAGAUUGCGCGGAGCCAAUGCUUUGCUGAGAUACGCCACUGGAUGUCCUCCUUGCAUCAGGACGGCGCCAAUUCCCGUGGCACUUGCGUCCGUUUCGACGACGAACUGCUUUCGAAAAUCGGGUAGUGCGAGCACUGGAGCUUGCACCAGGGCUUAUUUCAGCGCGUAGAAUGCGGCUUCGGCCGUUGGCGUCCAGACAAAGAUCGCUCCUUUCUUCAGCAUUUCCAUGAGGGGUUUGCUGAGUACUCCAAAGAAUCGCACAAAUUUGCGAUAAUAACCCGCCAAUCCCAAGAAUCCACGCAGCUCUUUGACGUUUCGCGGCUGUGGCCAUUCCUGAACCGCUUGGAUCUUGCUCUUGUCUGUGGCCACCCCUUUGUCGCUGAUGACAUGUCCCAAGUAACUGAUUUCCUGUUGGGCAAACGUGCAUUUGGACAUCUUGGCUUUGAGAUCUUUCUUGGCCAGCAACUGCAAGACGCGUUUCAGCAGCUAUCAAUGCUCUUCCAGCUCUUCAGAGUGGAUUAAGAUGUCAUCCAUGAAUGCCAACACCCCGUGGCAAAGAACUGGCUUAAGCACUGUGUCGACCACUCCUUGGAAUGUUGCAGGGGCGUACGCGAGGCCGUAUGGCAUUACCUUGAACUGAAAGUGCCCCAGGUGCGUUCGGAAUGCUGUCUUGUGCUCAUCCUCCGGGACCAAGCGGAUUUGGUGGUAUCCAGCUCGCAAGUCCAACUUCAAGAACCAUUUAGAACCCGCUAACUCAUCGAGCAACUCAUUGAUCACCGGCAUUGGUUAUGUCUUUUUGAGAGUUAUGGCAUUUAGAUGACGGUAAUCGACACAGAAACGCCACGUUUGGUCCUUCUUCUUGACCAGCAGCACGGGCGAAGAAAAGGCACUUGUGCUGGGUGUGAUGAGCCCUUUUUCCAACAUCUCCUUGACCUGAGCUUCUAUCUCAUCUUUCUAUUCAGGAGUGUAGCGAUACGGUCUGAUAUUGAUUGGUUUAACCCCUUCGAGCAGAGGGAUAGUAUGAUCCCAUGGUUGGCUAUCAGGCAACUUGGAUGGCUUUGCAAACACCGAGCGGAAACUGUCCACUACGUGUUGAAUGGCUGAAGGCACUUCUGUGGCUUUAUUCGAGCGAUCUAUUGCACACAGCGAUAUCACGUGAGCAAUAGAAUCACUUUUCUCCGUCCUGAGUAACUGAUCCAUUGUCACUUGUUCGACCCGCUGAAGCUUGGGCUGUAACCCCACCAGGGUGAUAGAAGCUCCCCGGUGCUGGAACUGUAGCUUUUUGCUGUCCAAUCAACCAUCAUAGGUCCACAUGCUUCUAACCAGUCCAUUCCCACCACCAUGUCAUACGAACCAAGAGGGAGAACUCGUACAUCCGUCUUGAACUGCUGCCCUUGUGUUGUCCACUCACAAGCACGUAUGUACCCAGAACAAGUCAAAGUACCCUCGUCUGCAAUCUUUACUGACACGGGCUGCAUUGGUUGUACUCAUGCUUUCAAUUUUUGGGUUGUUUCCUCAUUGAUGAAGCUGUGCGAGCUACCUGAGUCCACCAGAAUCAGCACUUCGUGGCUGUCAAUCCAUCCCAGCAGUCAAACGGUUCGCGGAGUUGUUGCCCCCGUGGUCGCAACUUUGGAGAUGGACAUGAGUUGUUCCUCAUCAGAAUCUGAUUCAGCCCCUUGCCUGUCUUGCGCUUUGGCCUGCAACAGUUCCAACAAUUCCUCGACCACAUGGAGUUGGACGGUGGCCGCGCACUGGUGGCCUUGACCCCAUCGUUCCCCGCACUUAAAGCAGAGACCACGCGCUCCACGAUAAUUGCGCAGUGCAUCAACGCGGUCCUCGCCCCGCGCUGGUUCGGCGCGUCGAUCGGCUGCCCGAGCCGCGUCCAAGGCCCGAUGAUCUUCUGCUGCUGCCGGAGGCGCGGGCGGCACCGGGCGGGGAUGUAAUCCACCCGCCGCUGGCAGAGGCCGAGCAUGGUGUCUCGCCUGGCCUGGGUCCUUCCGGGGCAUCAGCCCCAUCAGCUCCUCCUGUAACAGAGAAAGAGAAAAGGCGGAGUUCAAGUCUUGCGGGCGAUGUAAGGCAACACCAAUUUUAAUACCACUUUUGAGACCAUCAAGGAAUUGCGUAGUGAAGAACAGCGGAUCAAAGGCAGGGUUAUGAGCUAACAACUGAUGCAUGAGUUCCUCAAAUUGUUCCAUGUACUCUGUAACUGAUCCUAUCUGACGGAGAGUAUUAAACUGUCUAAGCUGAACUUGGUACUGCUCUCGGCCAAAUUUGGCACACACGACAGAACAGAGCGCCUCCCAGGUGAAGGAGGUGCCGUGUGCUUCCUGCACCUGCAGCCAACGCGCGACAUUGCCCUCGAAAUGGAGAGUCGAAACUCGCACCCACAUCUCUCUUUGAACCCCCUAGACACUAAAGUAUUUCUCACACUUAUUUUUCCAGAAUUGGGGAUUUUCGCCAUCGAAGGGCGAAAAAUCAAGCCGCGGAAGGGCCCAAUUGAUGUGCCCCCCGAACGAACCGUGAGGGGACGGAGGUGGAAGAUCAUCAGGAUGUGCCAGAUCCCCGCCCGAUUCACCUGAUUUCGAAGGAAAAGGGGAUCGGAGAGGCUCACCCGUGACCGGAGGCGGCGCCAGGGUAGUGACUACCCCGUGUGCCAAGCCUCCGGAGUCGAUGUUCCCGCAGUGGCCACUUGGCCCGUGGUGCCCAGGGUCGUCGGUCGGAGAAGACGACGACGGCUGCACAACUGCGCCUUCGGGAGAUGUCGAAGACGCCGUCAGCACGGGGUGGAGGGCGAUCCGGCCGACCUGGGUACGCAGCUCGUCGAGUUGCUGCUGCAGGUUGGUCACCGCCGGCUGCCAGAGCUCAAGCGAUUGUUGGAUCGCGUCGAGGCGGGCGUCGUUGGCGGCGCGCCCGUCGUGGACCGCCUUCGCCAGGGCUGCGAUGUGCUCUUCCAUGGCUGCCGCCUGCUGUGCUGCUUUCGUGUGGUAGCGAGGCUUCUGGUAAAGUGGAUCCAGGAUGAUUGACCUCUGAUACCAAGUUGUAAGGGUCCCGAUCUAGAUCUGAGGAGGGGUUAGGAGGGGAGAGAGGACGAAGGAGGCCGGAGGAGAAGAUCAGCUUCUCUUAAUCAGUUUUGACAUAAUAAUUCUCGAUGCCCAUUCUCUCUCAGCCUCACCUAGAAAUACCCACGGCACGCAAGCCACACACGCAACGCGUCCUAACUACGCGGGCCCACUGAUUGCUUCCUCUCCACUUGUCUUGACUCCGUCAGCUCUGUCCGGUCGUGGCUCGGUUGCCUCGCUGGCCAGUGGGGCCGUCGCGGCUGGUGGGGUAGCCAUGACAGUCAUGACAUUAUGUUUGAGAUAUUUUGUACUAACGAUGAACUUUGAUAAAUGAUCUAGAUUUUUUUUCGCAGAAAAAAGAAAUACGCGUGCAAUAACGGAAUGAACGCACGUAGGAUUGCCAUCAAGAGCCCCCCACGCUAAUGGAGUGGAUGACCCAUUCAUACUGUCAGAGGCCGAUGCUAUAGUUAUAUGUUGUUAUCGUUGAGGGCGUCAGCUCGAAGCUCGACUAAGGGAUGAAAAUCCUAAGUGCAAAAAUCUUUUUUUUUUGGGUAGACGCCAAUAUUUGCCUGAGACAAUUGGGGAGGUACCCCAGUGAACGACUCGUUCCCUCGGGCGGACGAGGGAGGGAGAGAACGAAAACGUUCGCUCGGGCUGGACGAGGGAGCGAGCGAGCGAACGAAAGCGUUCGCUCGAGGAAAACCCUCCCAGCAAACCCCUCUCCCCCUCCACGUAUAAGCUACCAAUUAGGCCAAGAAAAAGCCACUUUUGUUGUGACGCACUACAAACUUUGAACGGGUCUCAUUUUGAAAAGAUAAAUUGAGGAGAUUCGAUUCUUAGGUCGGCCAUUUUGCAUAACCUAAGUUUUGGGUGUUACUUUGCUAGUGAUUUUCCUAAAGUCCUAAAUUACCCAACCAGCAGCCUACUUUGUGCCACUGGCUAUAUGACUCAACUGAGAAUAAAUUGCACCAAUUCAAUUUUUUUGGCAAGAAAUCGGUUCGCGGACGCGAAAGCCUGCUUGGCGGAAGAACUUUUCUGCAAAGGACGACUAUCUAUAUCAACAACAAGUCCAUAAGCCUAUCAUCAUUGAAGAGAUUAUCAAGGGCAAAUUUCCAGUGUGUGACUCACAGCCAAAACCUGGGCCAGUACAAAGGCUUCACCCCCCAUGGCCGAGGCCCGAGCCCGGAUGGGUGGCGUUGUCCAUCGAUGGUUCUUUCGUGCAAGAUACUAGUGCAGCAGGUACAUGUAUGAUCCUCAGGGACAACAAUGGCACUGUUAUUUUCUCAGCAUACCGGUACUUAUUCCAAUGCAAAGAUGCCCUUGAAGCUGAAAUUAGUGCCACUCUUGAAGGACUGUCACUGAGCAUGCAACAGUCAGAGUAGCCUAUCAUCAUUCAUUCUGAUAGUUCGACUGUUAUUGCGGCCUUACAAACAAUUCACUGGACCGGUCGGCAUAUGGUCAUUUGAUUUAUGGAGAUUACGAAAAUGCUAGCUCUUCGGGUGUUUAUUCCGUUAAAAGUAGAUCGUAGUCAAAAUAGAUUUGCUUAUAGUCUAGCUAACAUUGGUCGUUCUGGGGGUUGCACCGCCUGUUGGUUGCACCGAGUUCCAGAUGCUGCUUCAGAGUUUGUAUUAGCAGACUAUAACACUAUUUUUAAGGAAUAAAACCCAUGCUUUACCCUGCAAAAAAAAUACAAGUCCAUAAGGGCCGAUGCCCGGCACGCCAUGUGUGCCUGCCCCUGCGUCCCGGUCGGGUCUCAAGGCGUGGUGCUUGCGUAUAUAGUGAUAUAUAUUUUUUGAAUUGUGAACAUUUUCUGAAAAAGUUUAAACAUUUUUGAAUAUGUGCAGAAAGUCUAGAAAUAGAAACAUUUUUUUGAAAUACCAAACAUUUUUUUAAAUGUGAACAAUUAUUGAAAACCGUGAACAAUAUUUGAAAACAAGAACAUCUUUCAAAACACAUUUUUUUGAAAUUUGUGAAUAUUUUAUGAAUAUGUAAAUAAAUAGGAUUUUUGAAAUUUCAAAUAAAUGCUUUCUGUUUUUUUUGAAAGUGCGGAUAUUUUCAGAAAUAUGUGAACAAAUUUCGAAAACAAGAACCUUUUUUGAGCUUUCUUAUUUAAAAGAACCAAAAGAAAAAGAAGCACACGUAAAAAUAAAAAAAUAGAAAGAAGAAAGAAAAAUAGAAAAAUUUAAUUUUCUGUUUUUUUUGAAAAUUUGAACAAAUUUUGAGUAUUUUUGAAAUUCUUGAAUUCUAAAAAGAAAAAGAAAAAGGACGUAGAGAAAAUACAUGAAAAAUAGAAAACAAAAAUAGAAAAAGGAAACCAAAAACCUAGAAAAAAAUAGCCGGUUAAGGAACCUUCUUCCUAAAACUGUUUGUUUGAAGAAACACGUGUACUUUAUUCAUACUUAUAACAAUUAUAGAUACACUGAUUUGGAUUUAAGAUCCAAGAAAAUACAAAGUAACUCCUAUGAUUAAUAAUUACAAUGAAAUAUCUUGACAACUCUUUCUUCGCUGGAUCAAUCUCAACUAGAAAAAAAAUACUCCAAAGACUUCGGGAGGGUGCAAUUGUACUGGAGGGACGAUGUUGUCGCUCUUUCACCCGAAUGAACAUUACCAAUAAUGAUUUUUGAAAGUACCUUGAGUCGACUAUCCAAAAAGAUGGGAAGUCUUGAUUGACGAACGUACUUGGGCCGGGGAUGAUCCCCUAGAAGUGCAGGCCAUCGAAUCACCAUAUCUUCACCAUGGUCGAAUUUCAACUCCACAAAGAAUCAAAUCAACGAAAAAAGCUUAACACACCAAUAUAAACUCAUUAAGUCCAAUUGAGGACAAAAACUCUUUAAUCUCAUGUCACAACCAAAAAAAUAAGAGUAAAUUUAUUCUCACAAAAUACGAUGAUCAUUAGAUGACGACGAAGAACGUAUAAUUCUUCAAGAUGCGAGGUCGCCUCACCUCAUAGCGCCAAAAAUGCUAGUCAGAGGCGAAGGGGCCAAAAAUUCCUGGCGGCGGCGGUGGCUGAGACUGCAACCCUUAACGAAACACUCGUGCUUGACAAAUCUUCUGGUUCAUCAAACUGGUAAAACAGGCUUGGAGCCUUCCGAGAAAAAAAUUGGCUGAGAACCCGUCUCCGAAGCUCGUGCGAUCUAAUGGGCGGAGGGACGCUGCCGAAGAUCAGUCAUUUAUUGCUCGCAAUAAGCGACCCGUAGCAUUUGGGGCGCACCUACGUUUCGCUUUAAGCGAGACCUAGGAAACCCCGAAAUCACUAGUUAAGGAGUACUUCUUAUAGAGAUUACUCAAACCUCUCCAGGUUGCAACAAGUGGCGCGUUGCAUGUGCGUCAUUUGUCGCAACCUGGAGAUUUUCCUUUUUUCGUAGAUUCGUUUAUUCAAAACGUUUUAUCUCUUAAAUCGUGCGUCCAAAUCUCGAACCGCUUUCGCCGUUGGAUUCCUCGCGUCAAGAUCUUCAAAACUAGAUUCCAUGUUGAUAGAUUUUGACGAACUUUUUUUUCGCAAAAAACCGGACAAAAAAAUCGACGAAAAAACCGAACCGGUAACACAGGUUUUUUUUCUUUCCAAAAAGGCACGCCCGUGCCUCUGACGAAAUCACAACUGUGCCUCUCGCGAAAGCAAAAUCGUGCCUCUCGAAAAACAAUAAAAAAGCAGAAAACACGUUUUUCCCUUUCCGAAAGAGGCACGCCCGUGCCUCUCGCGAAAAGUACAACCGUGUCUCUUGCGGAAAAAAACCGUGCCUCUCGCGAAAGAAAAAAAAACAAAAGCGUUUUUCCCUUUUCGAAAGAGGCACGCCCGUGCCUCUCNNNNNNNNNNNNNNNNNNNNNNNNNNNNNNNNNNNNNNNNNNNNNNNNNNNNNNNNNNNNNNNNNNNNNNNNNNNNNNNNNNNNNNNNNNNNNNNNNNNNNNNNNNNNNNNNNNNNNNNNNNNNNNNNNNNNNNNNNNNNNNNNNNNNNNNNNNNNNNNNNNNNNNNNNNNNNNNNNNNNNNNNNNNNNNNNNNUUUCCGAAAGAGGCACGCCCGUGCCUUUCGUGAAAGCACAAACGUGUCUCUCGCGGAAGCAAAACCGUGUCUCUCGCGAAAGAAAAAAAGAAAACGCAAUUUUUUCCUUUCCGAAAGAGGCACGCCCAUGCCUCUCGCGAAAGCACAACCAUGCCUCUCGCGGAAGCAAAACCGAGCCUCUCACGAAAAAAAAACAGAAAACACGUUAUUUUUUCGUUUCCAAGAGGCAUGGCCGUGCCUCUCUCUAAAACAAAACCGUGACACUCGCGAAAAAAUUGCAUUUUUUUGUGCAAAAGAAUUAUUUUUUUUGAAUUAUUUUUUGUCGAAAAGCUCGGGACGACCGGUAGAAAACCAAAACUUAAUUUUUUUAAGAAAAAAACCGUUUAAAAAGCCGAAAACGCGUGCGGAAACAUAAAAAGACAAAAUCCGAAGAGAGUGCCCAGAGCGCGACAUGUGGCAAAUGGCCGAGAGCGCACCAAGUGGCGCUGAUCCUUGCGAGGCUCCCGAAGGAGCGCUCGUUAAUUAGUUGCUCCCGGGAAACCCUCACGUCAGGAGGGCAGCUCUAGAUGGGCCGGCCCAGAUGCGCUGCAGGGAAUAUCCUCUUUUUUCUGUUUUUCUUUCACGUUUUUUCUUUUUGUUAUUUAUUUAUUACUUAAUUUUGUUUACACUUCCGAAAAUUAUAAACACAUGUAUGGGAAAAUGUACUUUACAUAAUGUUUUGUAAUUCGAAAAUGGUAAAUGCAUAUAGAAAAAAAAUGUUGACCAUGUAUACGAAAAAUGUUAAACAAGUAUUUGCAAAAUGGUGAAGAAAUAUUUAUAAAAUGUUGAAUAAGUAUUAAAGAAUGUUGAACGAGCAUUUGAAAGUGUUGAAUAAGUAUUAAAAAUGUGGAACAAGUAUUUGAAAAAUGUUGAACAAGCUUUCGGACAAUGUUGAACAUGCGUAGAAGAAAUGUUGACCACUUACUAAAAAAAUGUUGAUCACUUACUAAAAAAUAUUGAUUUUUUUAUCAUGUGUAUAAAAAUUUUAAUCAAGCAUUUAAAAAAAGUUGAACAAGUAUUACAAAAAUGUUAGUCAAGCAUUUGAGAAAUGUUAAAUGUGUAUAGAAAGAAUGUUGAUCAUGUAUAAUUAAAUGAUGUAAAAAAUUUGGUCAUGUAUAUGAAAAUAUUAAUCAAGCAUUUGAACAAAAUGUUGAACAUGUGUUUGAAAAUUUUUAAUCAAGCAUAAAAUGUUAAAUGUUUAUAUAAAAAAGUUGACCAUGCAUUGAAAAAGUGUUAAUAUUUUUUUGAAAUAUUAUUAAUCAAGUAUUUUAAAAAAUGUGAAAACGUAUAAAAAAUGUUGACCAUGUAUUAAAAAAUGUUACGAAUGUGUAGACCAUGUAUUCAAAGAAAUUGUAGAAAUAUAAAUUAACCAGAGAAAAAUGAAAAUAAAAAAUAAAACCAAAGAAACAAAUGCAAAAUAGGAAACAAAGAAAAGGAGAAAGAAAACAAAGAGGAAUGGAGAAAAAGGAGAAAGAAGACAAAAAAACAAA
rnacentral:lncRNA from 1 species